rnacentral:lncRNA from 1 species
CUUUUUUUUUUAGUAGUUUUUGAAAGGGAAUCAAGGAUGGUAGUGAGCCAAACUUCCAUUUAAUGUUACUAACCCUUUCAAAGUACUUUAUUUCAGUUGCCUUCUACCUUAUUUCCUUGUAAAACUCACACAAACUAAUCAAGAUAUCUUAUAUCAAUAAAACAUGACAAAAUUGAGUGUUCUUAUGCAUGUAAUUUUGUGAAUUUAUAUGAUUUAACUAUGAUAAUAAUAAGAUUUUUUUUUUCCCUCUAAUUACAAUCCUAUUGGCUAGAACAUGAUUUUCCAACUGUCCAUCCUAAUCUAACUUCAUUACAUGAUAAAGGAAGAUAAAUAUCUUUAAGAUCAUGAAUGAUAUGGAUUAGAGAGAAUCAAGUAUUAAAUUUUGAUGUGAACUUUGUAAACAAGAAAGAUAGUCUCCAAAAAUGUCUUAACAAAGGACAAUUCUCUAACACAACUACUUAAUGGCAUUGAGUAUAUAUAUAUAUAUAAAAAUCAUUGAAUAUAUAGAAGAUUUUUGUAACACUAGACAUGAAUUUUUUUUUUUUUUAUAAAAUAUCAUUAUCAUGUCAAAUAAUAAACUAAUGAAGUCAUUCAAAUGAUGCAAAAAAAAAAAAAAAAAAAAAAAACACUAUCAUGGAUAUGAGAACUUUAGAUCGUUUCUUUCUUUAUAGCCAUGAAACACAACUAUCUUCACUUUUAUAGAUAAGAUUUGACAUUAGGGAGCUCCAUCAUUGACGCUACAAAGUUAGUUUCCACUACAUUAGGGUGUUGGAUAUACAAAAGUGCACAAUGUUUUAACAUGGUUUGACCUACCAUGCCUACAUUUAUAUAUGAGAGAAUUAUUUCACUACAAUAUAGAAAAUAUUAUAAAUGAUAAAACCAGAUACAAUUAUUAGAUUUUUGAAACUAGGAUGUUUACCUAUUCCAUGUAUCUAUACCUUGAACCAUGAGUCUUCUUACUCCACAAGUGUUUCCUAUUCUUCCCCACAUCUCUAUCCACCUUUUAUAGUCUUUAUAACUUAUUUCGAUCUCAUAGCGUUUUCCUCUCAAGAACUAAAAUAUUUUUAGGGAUAUUCCUAACAACUUUCUUUACUCUAUAAGAAAAUCUAAUAUUAUAAUAACAUCUGAAUAUGAUAAAUAUUCUACAAAAUAUUAUUUGCAAAAGAAAAUCUAUACUAAUUAAAAAUUUGAGAUACUUUCCAACAAUUUAUUGGUUUUCCAUUUGUGAUUUCAUGUUGUAUUUCUAUUUUAAAUUUUUUUAAAAUAAAAUAUAAGUUAUUUACUUUUUUAAAAAAAUUACAUCAUUAAAUUUAUUUAUUAAAUAUGCAAAUGUUUAAUAACUUAAAUUAAGUUAUUAAGUUAUAUUAAAUCAUUAAGUUGAUCUACCAAACAUUUUUUUUUAUAUUCUAAAAUCUCUUUUAUUCAAUUUGACUACAUUUAGGGGUUGUUUGUUUUUUCACCAUAAGUACCAAAGCAAGUUGAUUUUAGAUUUAAGAUAAACGUAAAACGACAACAACAACAAGAACAAUAAUAAUAAUAAUUUCUUCAUUAAGAUAAAAUUAUCUUAGAAAAAAUGAAAAGUUAAAAAAUAAAUAAUCUUAAAAAUAACUUAAGGUCUUAAAAUAAAGUGCUUUAAGACUUAAGUCCAAAAAAAAAGAAAUAGAACUUAAUAUUUAAUAUUACCUAUAAUUAGAUAAAUUUAUGUCUAUUUAGAUUUCUUUUUUUUUUUAAAUCUCACCUAUAUUACAACUUAAUAUAAAAACGAUUUAAUGUAAUAAAUUAAAAUAGAUAAAAAAAAUUUCUUCUAAAUCUUAAUUAUCAUUUGUCUUAUUUAUCAAUAUUUCUUUUCACCAUAUUUCUCUCUUAUAACCUCAUUACUUAAUAUUAACUAGGAUAAAUAUGUUAAUUUAAUACUACAGAAAAACUUUUCAAUACAUUUUUUAAACAAUCUUAACACUUAAAGUAAAAAUGAAAGGAUAAAUUUUAAGUCAAUAAUUUAAAUAUAAUUUAACUUAAAAUUAUCUUCAAUUGUUAUGUUAAGUUUUACUUGACAAUGAUAAAAGAAUAAUUAUAAAUAUAGAUUUAUUAAUUUAUUUAUUUUUAAAUAAAAUAUAAACACAAAAAGACUAUUUUAUUCUUAAGCCACAUGGUUCCUUUCCACAAUGUUAACGCUAGCCUCUUCCUUUUCAUUUUCCCUUUAUUUUUUUUCUUCUUCUUUUUCCACAAAUCUAAGUUAAUUUAUUUUAACUUAGAUAUUAAGAAAUAAUUUAAAAUUAAUUUUUUAUUAAUGUAAUUUUUUUAAAAAGGAAAAAUAUUAACCCCAUUCUCAUUUAAAUAGAACCUCACCACCUAUUCUAUAUCUUAAAAGAAAAAAAUGCAAUAAAAAAAUCUUGGCAACAUAGUGGAACAUAUUGGGUUGUAAUAGAAAAACGACUUAUCCAUCUUUCCAAUAUGACUUUUCUUUGUCUUUUUCAUAAAAAUAUCUAAAAAUUCCUAUAAAACUAUUAAUGGAAUUUAUUAAAAUAAAUUAUUUAAUGAAUGAUAAUUUAUAUGCAGUAAAUAUAAUAGAUGAAGUAAUAUUAACAAUAAGGUUAUUUAAAUAUAAAUAGGUAAGUAUAAUAAUAAAUUUAUUAUUAGCACAUCAAAGGUUGACCACAUCCAUUAACUUUCUUGUAUUUAAAUAUCGUAAACGCUUGGGUAAAUGAAUUAUAAGGUUAGGGUAUGCGUAUUUCUUAACAAUAAUUACUUUUAGGAAAGUUAUUAACACCCAAAGUCAUACAAAUUGUAUUAGAGCCGAGGUCACAGGUUCAAACACUAAGAAUGUAUGUGGUUAGGCAUUGGGAGGAAAUUAUUGGCAGAUCGAAGUUGAUCGAUGAUGCACUAUAAGAUCAAUCUCUUUUAAGAGAGUUGAUAACACCUAAAGUCCUACACUUAUUAAAUUAAAUAAUUAUCUGUCAAACUGUAGUAACAUUUUUCAGAAAUUUUAUCAGUGUUAUAAAAAGUUAGUUUUUAGUCAAAUCUUAACUCCACUUUUUAUCUAAAGAUAAAUUAAGAUUAAAUAGAAUUACUUUAAAUCAUAAUAAUAUGGAUAAAUUUAUAAAAAAUUUAUGAUAUUAGAUUAUUAUUUAUUAAGAUGUAUUGAUUUCGUCAAGUCUGGUGUUCUGGGCUUAUGUAAUUCUUUUUUUUAUUUUUAAAAAUAAGGAUAAAUUCUUUUUGUUUUUUAUAAAAAAAAAAUACAUACUUUAUUUACGAGACAACACGCGUCUUGAUACAAGAAUUCUUAUAUUUUUUAUAAGAGUUUUUACUUUAAAAAGUAAAAAGUAAAAAAUAAAAAAUACAUUCAAACAUAGCAUUGAAUGGGAAUAAUUUUGAUAACAACAUCUAACAUAAAUAAUUUGUAAAUAAGAGGAAGCCUUGAUGCAACGUCGUUGAAUGUGGUAAGUAGAAAUCAUAUUGGAAUUGGCAGAUGUAGUGUUUUGCAUUCAUCAUCAGCUUGAAAUAUGUAAAUUUUAUUCCCAAAUAAAUGAUAGCUAUUCAAUUUAAAAAUGAUUCAACUUGGAAGAGAGCACAUGAAGACGAGUCAAGUCAAGCGGGGCGUCCUGCGGCUCAAGAAGGCUACAAUUUGUGCUUUAUGUGGUCCUCCCACUGACCAUGACCACCACAUCUAAAUUUUGAACUUUUUAAUUAUUUUAUUUUAUUUUAAUAUUCCCAAUGAUCCAUGGAUAAUUUUGGGUUCAAGCCGGCUAGAUUUUCAGUUGCCUGCAACUUGUCCACGUGUAUGUUGGUUCUAUCAGGCGCAACCUUUUGAAUGCCAUUGCUAAGAACAUUUGAUUCUCUUCAUUUAAUUCAUGAUAAAUAAUAUAUAUAUAUAUAUAUACUAUUCACUUUAUUAUUACAUUUUGUAAUUUAUGCUCCGAGUAGAUGAUUCGACAAGUAAUUUUACCCUAACAUGUUUUUCACAUAUUUGAAUUGAGUAGUGAUGUGUAUAACUCGUUUUAUAAAUAUAUAAUUUUUUUAUUAAUAUAUAUAAUAAAAAUAUGAUCUGAAUAGUCUAGUUUAUUAAUUGAAUUGAUUAAUCUAAUUAUAAUUUUAAAUUAUUUAAUUUAAAUAGACUUAUUUUAAAUGAUUUUUUAAAUAAAUAGGUCAAUUAAAUUAUAAACAUUUGUAAUUAAGAGGUUAAUAAUUGAUAUACAAUCUAACUUAAUCUUAUUGAUUAUCAAUAAAAAAAAAUUAAAUUAAUUAAAUAGAAUAAAUGUAUUGUACGAUUCGUUAAGUGUUUGGGUUUAUGGUACCAUGAAUAAUUAAAUUUUAUAAUAUAUUAUUUAACUAAUAAUAUUUAAAUUUUAAUUAAUACUCAAAUAUUUUAGAUAAAUUAACUUUUUAUCUUUUAAAAAUCAACUAUUUAUCUUUUACCAAACCAAAUUGUUGUAUUAGAUGGAUGGCUUAUUUUUGCACAUAAUUCUAUUGGUAUUUAAUAAUUUAAGAUGAGGAAGAAUGUGAAUCUAAUCCCUUUUCAAAUUGGGUAUUACAUAAUUUAAUUAAAUAAUCCUAUUCAUAUGAUUAUUUAUAUUAUAUUUAAUAAUUUAUAUUAUAUUAUUUAACUAAUUUUUAAUUUUUAAUUAAUGUGAGAGAUUAAUUUCUCAUUUAUUAAAAUUAAACAAAUUAUUGUAUUAAAUUAAUGGAUAGACUAUCCUCGAGAUUAACAUAUGAUUUAUUUAUAAGCAAAUUUUCUUAAGAGCCUAAUAUAUAUAUAUAUAUAUUAAUUUUCUUUACUUGGUAUAAUAAUCUAAUCCAUCUAUUUCGGGUUGUGACUCAAUUAACGCAUAUGUCUGUCCAACUUUAAUCCAAUUUAUACAUUUUUCUCAAUCAUAAGGCCAACCCAAUUAUCACCCAAGUUUCAGGAAAAUGGUUUUGGUUCAAUUCAAAUUGUCAAAUUUGGAUUAUUGAAUUUGGAUUGAGUUUUUAUACCAUUUUGCUUUAAAAAAAUGGUUUUGGUUGAACUCAAAUUGAAUUGUUGAAUUUGGACUGAAUUUAUAUAUAUAUAUAUUCAUAAGAGUGAAAAAAAAUAUUAUUAAAUUAAAAUUAUUUAUAAAUCAUAUAAUUUGAAAUUAGAAAAAUGCAUGUGAUCAAAAGUCAUAACUGCCAGAGGUUCCGAAGGGACGUUCAAUGAAUCGGGACUGACAGAAACAGUUGAAAAGCCCCUAUGCAGAAUCAUGGAAGUAGAGAAAAAUGUAAUGGGUUUGAAGAUGAACAACAAGACAUGGCCAAAAUGUCACGUGCGCUUGCUUAAUUUCUUCUUUCAACAAAUGCUAUAAUAAUAUAUUAUAUAUGCUUAAGAUUUUCUUCGGUUAUCUUCUUGGAUUACUAUUUUGUCCUUUUUCUCCUAUAUAUUUACUAAUUUAUAUUUGACCUUUUUAUUUAUUAAUUCAUUUUCCAUGGUGGCCAAUGGGAUGAUCCCACAUCCAUGUCGUCAUUCAUGCAUCUCUCCCUCCUUCAACCUUGACAAGCCAUCAAAUUUAAUAUACUUAAAAAGUCAAUUUGAUUUUAAACUUAAAUUAUAUACUUGUGUGUUUGAAUAUAUUUUCUAGAGUAGAAAAUUUUGUCAGUUUUAAAAUUCUAAAAAUUUAAGAGAGAAAAACUUUUCUCUUGUACAAUUUUUUUUCUUUUAAUUUUAAAAAGUGGCUUCAAGAUAAUGAGUUACUUUUUAUGUAAAAAUGCUUAAAUUAUAGAAAAUAUAUUUAAAUGCUGGUUAUCGAUUCAAGAUUUAUUAUUAUUAAAUCGAUCCUUAUUUAAUUAUUAAGGUUAUUUAAUAUAAUCAUUAUAAAAAAUAUUUAAAUAAUUAAAUUGUCGUAUUUGUUGUUGUAAUGACUUGUACUCAACUGUAUAGAUAUUAUCCGUUUUAAAUUCAAAUAAGACCUCACAUUAAGAUCGAAUAUCAACUUUAAUAUCAUUUAUAAUGACCUUCAUCAAAUCGUGUAUAUAUUAUUCACUAAAAACCCUCAAAGUUUUAAAAUAUGUUCACAACCAUAAGGUUAAAAUAAGUCUAUACAUAGUCAUUCAGUUAGAUAAUCUAAAUUUAUACGUUAUGUUUAAGAAAUAAUGCAUAUAUAAUCAAUUAAAAUUUUAAAGUUUUAAAACGUGUCCACAAUCAUGAGAUUAAGAAAAGUCUAUGUAUAUAUAUAUAUAGAGUUAUUCGAUUAGCUAAUCUAAAUUUAUAAGUCAUGUUUAAGAAAUAAGAUAAUUAUAAAACAAGUCGAAUCAAAUAUAUUUUAUACACCAUACGAAACCAAAAAGACUAAAAGAAAGUGAAGUAAAAUAAAUAGUUAUGAAAGCUAAAUGGGAUACGUAACGCCAGUCAAAUGAGGGAAAGUGUUUUUGUUGUUUUGGGAAACAUAUUAAAUAGAUUUGAGAUGAGGGGAGGGACAGACGUACAACUUGGAUUUGCAUGAAGCAUUGAAGCUUUAUAUAUACAAGGAAAAGAAAGUAGAAAAAAUAGAUGUUGUAAAGUCAAGUCUUGAAAUAUAAAAUAAAUUAAAUGAUUAUUUCAGCAAGAAGCAACUUCGGUGUUGGUCAAGCCAUUAAUUUAUUGGAGAUUUGACCAGCUUUUUAUGUUUGAAAUCUGUAGAAAGGUAUUCCAGUUGUACCUCAGAGCUGGUAGGACUUCUCUUUCUAAGCCAAUCGGAUUCGAAAAAUAUAUAUAUACAGACAUAAAAAUCUAAAUAUUUUGAUUUUUUCAACUCAACCAAAAAAUAAACAACGACUUUAGUCACACCUUAAAAAAAUUAAUAAAUAUAUCAAAGUAGAAAAAAAAUAUAAAAAAAUAUUUAAAAUCAAUAAAUUAUUUUUAUAUAAUAUUUUAAACAUAUUAAAUUUAUUUUAAUUAUAUUUAAUUUUUUAAAUGCCUUUCAUAAUAUAACUAAAUAUGAUAAGAUUGUUUUUUAUUUUUUUAUUUUUUUACUAUUUUUGAAUAACCACACAUGAUCAAUAGUUACAGAUUUCUAACUCUUAAAUGAAUCUUAAAAUAUCCUCAAUUAGGAUCGUAAUUGAACUUAUAAUAUUAAAAAAAAAAAACCCUAAAUUGAUAAAAGAAUCUAAAUAAUUUUUUUCCAUUUUUAAAAAACUUAUGGCUCAAUUUUAAUAUAAAAAAAUCAAAUUAUUAAUUUGAUCUUCAUAUUAAAAGAAAAAAAUUAUCCACCCCCUUUCAAAAAAAAAUUCUAUAAAAUAGGCUUUAUACGGACUUGCGUUUAACUUUCAAACAAUGACAUGUUAGAUAUUUUUAUUCUCCCCAUCAACUUGUAAGUUAAUGUCAUAUGUUGAGGUCAUUAAGCUACCUAAACGUAAAAAUAGAGACUUUUUGCUUCAAGGUUUUUUAAAAUAUGCAAGUCUAAAUCUUUGUUCAAAACCGCUGAAUUCAACGGGACCAAAUUCAACCAACACCAAAUUGAUUGUAAUCGAAUCAAAUUUAAUUUACUUAACUUGAUUCUCAAGUUGUAUCAAAUGAGAUCUACUCCUAAAUUAAAAUUACACGUAAUCUCUUAAAAGCAUAUAAUUAUUCCAUGCUAAACUAUAAGGUUUCAUCCUUGAUAGAAAUUCAUUCGAAUCCAUUUUUUUUCUUCCACGUGUAGCUCUAAGAUGGUAUUGUAGUCUAAAUUCUAACAAAAAGAGACAGAUGGCUAUUAAAAGUUGUUUUCAAGGGCCAGUGCUGCUUCGGAAAAUCAGAAAGGAAAAAUUUGUCCGAAGAAGAGAAAACAGACGAGAUUUACCUACCCAAAGUUUGGAAUUGGUUGAUGUAUAAUGAAAGUUGGGACUUUUUCUAUUCAAAGCGUUGGACUUUGUUCUAUAUGAUAUAAGCAUAUUCAAAGGGACUGCAGAUAUGUUGAUCAAUAGUCUCCAACGCCAGCCAUACUAGGUCUAUAACGUUUCAAAGUUAGCAGCUGAACCACGUUCCUUCCACGGUAUCUUCAUCGACAAAACCCUUGAAACCAUUGUCGUCUUUGUUUCAUUUUUUCUCAGUACGAGGCACAUACGUGGCGGAAUGAUGUCCACCUCUGCAAGAAUCAAGCUCAUGCAUUACUCUAGCUUCAUUGAAACAAAGGCCAACUCCCUUGUACCAGAAGAAAAUGCCCGAUUUGAUGCUGAAACUCAUGUCGCUUUUCACCUAAUUCAUGACAUAAGGGAUUGAAAAUCUGGAUUAUGAAAAUUAUGUCCACCAGCCCCUUUGUUCCACAGUUAAUUGUAAAUUAUAUUUCGAUCAUGGCCCGACUGGUUUUUCUUGUACUUGCGUUCAUUCCCUGUUGACGGGAUGAAUAUUUUAGCUACUUUUAGCUUAGACUAAUGCUGAAAACCAUCAUUAGGGGAUUCAGGUAUCAAUCAACUAGGGUUUUUAUUUGAGAGGGAUGGAGAUGCUAAUAUGGAAAUGGAUUCACAUAUCGUGAUUGAAAGCUCUGACAAAUUUUGCACACCCAUUUACAAACGUUGGUAGAAAUUGACUUCAUCAGCCCUAUGAGUAAUGAUCAUAUUUUUUUAUUUUUUUUUCUUGUCAUGUGACGUAGGCUUUGGAAAAAUCCAAGAUGAACCUUCACUGAUUAAGUUUUAAUUGAGCACCCACAUUGUGAAAAAUGAUUUGGGUUAGGGGCUUCACCAAUCAUAGAGCUUAUACAAGUGGAAAAUGGAAAUUCAAUGAGGCGGCCACACAGCAAUAUUCAUAAAUAUAAAUAUGAAGCUGAUUAAUUAAUUAACGUUAAUGAGAUGGACAGACCAAAGUCCAGAUGGGGUUGACGGGUAUAAAUUUUAUAUGUCUAGGGAAAAAUAAUUAUUUAAGAUAAGGCAGGCAUAAAAGCAAUAAUAAUAUUUGGCCUACUGACGUGCACUAGCCUCUUUCUUUGACCCCUUCACACCAUCGAUGCUAAAUUCCAAGCAGCCCAAAUACUUCAACAAAUGUGAACUGCACGUGUACACUCUCACACUCGUGUCCAUUUUGUGAAUAUGGUAUUAGGUGUUGUGUUAGGGUCUAAUUUUGGGUCGAGUUAAGAGAACACUUAUUCAUCAUACUUUAGCUGGAUAUGGAAAGUUUUUGAAUAUGCAAUGAAGAAAAGGAAAGAAAUUUAUUUCAAAUUUCAUCCAUUAGUAUUUUUAUAAAUUUAUUUUUUUAAAGAGAUUUAAAUGAAAAUAUUUUAAGUAGAAGUGUUUAAAAAUCCUCUAAUAAUUAAAUUUUAUUCUUUAAAAAUUAAAAUUUAUAUAUAUAAAAUAUAUUUAUCGGAUGUAACCGGUAAAAUUUGAAAUAUGUGACGAUUUUAUAUAUUUACAUUAGGGUGGUGUUUAUUUUUUGAUUGAAUAGAAAAAAUCAAAAUAUUUGAUUUUUCUAAUUUAACUAAAAAUAACUUGUUCACAUCGUUCAAUAUAACUAAACUGAAUUUAUUAUUAAUAGAUUCAAUUUAGUUAUAUUGAAGAAUAUAAACGGAUUACUUUUAACUGAAUAUAAAAAAUUAAGUAUUUUAAUUUUUCAUAUUCAAUAAAAAAACAAACAUCACUUAAGAUUCAUAUUAUCAAUGAAAAACUCAAAAUUAAAAUAUUUCUGCAUAUAUUCUAAGGCACCGCCUUAAGAUGAGCCUGUUAUUCUAUUAAAGAGAUAAUAACGAAUUUGAAAAGGCAGAAAAGGAAAAUACCAAGAAGGAUUUGGGGAUAUUGAACGUCACAUUCAUAGGGAUCACCUUGCAGAAGAAAACAAAAACAAGAUGAAAUUCAUUCCGGGUAAGUUAUUAUAUAGCAAGUUGGUGCGUUAAUUUGCCAAAGUUGGUCACAAGUUUCAUUAAAAUAAUAAUAAUAAUAAUAGGAAAGAAAGAAGGAAAAGAAAAAUUCUUGAACUCAAAUGUAAAAUAUCUGAACAUGCCCCAAUUAAUGGCCAUGCUAGUUCAAGGAAAAGAAAAACCCCACGUUUUAUUUGACCAAUAAACAAACACUCGUGUCAUCCAGUGAGGCGGUUCCUAGCAAUUGUGGGCUAAAAAGGAUAUGCCUUUUUAUUUUCUUUUUUUUCUAAAUUCUAUCAACAGUUGUUUGUACUAUCUGCAAAUUGCAGCAGCUGGACUCCUCAUUAUAAAUACCCGCUCAUGGGCUUCAAAUCGGUUUGAGCUUGGGACAUCAAGAGAGAACACAGAGAUAAACAAGGGUGUCUCAGUCUCAAAUCCUUACGUAGAAAAGAAAAAAUGGGGAGAGCUCCAUGUUGUGAGAAGAUGGGGUUGAAGAAAGGUCCAUGGACUCCCGAAGAAGAUCAGAUUUUGGUCAAUUACAUCCACCUUUAUGGCCAUGGAAACUGGAGGGCACUUCCCAAACAAGCUGGUAAGUACUCCAUCCAAUCCAAACUCAGUAGAAAGAAAGAAAGAAAGAAAGAGAGAGAGAGAGAGAGAGAGAGAAAGAGAGAAAAGCCUUGAACAUCCAGGAAGAAGAAAUUUAGAGGAAGGGCAUGUGUGUAGUAUGUAUAUUAGUAUGAUCAAAGGAAUGGCAACAAUGCUUUUCCAAUUUCAUUUUUCUGGGUUUUCUAGAUUCCACUGCCUACUGCUUUAUAUAUGUAUUUAACACAUGGUAUAUGUGAAUCUAAAUUGCAUUUUUCACUUUGGUUUUUCAGGCUUAUUGAGGUGUGGAAAGAGUUGCAGACUUCGAUGGACGAAUUAUCUGAGGCCGGAUAUCAAACGGGGAAACUUCACCAGUGAAGAAGAAGAAACCAUCAUCGAGUUACAUGAAAGGCUGGGCAAUAGGUGUGUAUUUGGCCUGAUUUUUUUGUUUCCCAGAAGAUACUGUUGUCUUAGCAUUUUGGAAGCACUUCUCUUGCUUUCAGUUUUUGUUUUCAAAAACACUAUCCAAACUCCAAAGUGUUUUCACUUGAUCAGUUAAUUUUGUAAAAGAAACAUGUGGGACUGAAAAGAUUCCCUACUGAAACACAGACAUGUGAGAGUGCAGUAACAAGUUUUUCUUUAUAUGGAAUUAAAAAUAUGAAAGAGGCUGAUUAAUAAAGACAUUAGCUAGCAAAUGCAGACACUUGACAUGAAUUUAUUUUCUCAAACUCUGCAGAUGGUCAGCGAUAGCAGCGAAACUACCGGGGAGGACAGACAAUGAGAUAAAAAAUGUGUGGCACACCCACUUGAAGAAGAGGCUCAAGCACAACCACGCCACGCCACCCCCUAAAAGACACUCUCUUGAUGCGUCCCACGUCGAAAAACAACAAAACCCCAUUAGUUCUGCAACCAAUUCGAGAUCGGAGAGCCUUGGGUAUGGACCAGUACUGUCCCCACAGCAGUCCUUUAGCGAUAUCUCCUCAGCCGCCACCACCACGACCACCGCCACCAUGUCCGACAUUACUACACCCUGCAUUAAGGUCGAUUCACUGGAGGAGUUCCCAGAAAUGGACGAGAAUUUCUGGUCGGAAGUACUGUCAUCCAACAAAUCCGGCGCGGCGGGUGAUUUGCCAGGGGCGGCCAGUGGUCCACAGCUUCAGUUUCCAUUCUCUCCGCGUGCUGUCAUUGGCAGUAGUCCAUAUAGCACGUAUGACAUGGACAUGGAAUUUUGGUACAAUAUUUUCACAAGGUCCGGGGAGUUGCAUGAAUUAUCAGAAAUAUGAGGGAAGGGGCUUGUAAUUUUCAAGUUGUCCGAUGUGGGAAAUGGGAAAUGGGAAACGGGAAAAUGAAAUUCUUUGGGUGGCCUCUUUUGACUGUUGAAAGAUUGGACAACAAUUAUCGGUGGGACAGGAGCUGUCAUACCGGUUAGAAUUAUUCAUGUAUCGAACAGACUCAGCCAAAUGAUUGUCGGCAAGCAAUAAUUUUCUUCGAUAAAAUAAAGGGGGAAUGAAAAAUGUGUACAUUUUAAUGAUGUUGAUUGAGAAUGACUUGCAGGAUAUAGUGGUUUUUUGGCCCUUUGGAAAGUACUUGGAAAUGCAUCAGAGGCAAAGUGGUGUGUGCGUGUUGCACUUUCACUCUGCAAAUGAUUCUAAAUCAUGUGAAUCAUGCCCUUAUCUUAAUUACAACCCGUUAAAUUUAUAAUUAAUAUUUUUUUUUUAAAAAUGUGAUACAAUUUUUGUUGAUUGAUGUGUAGUGUUGGCAUUAAAUAUAUAUAACUACUUUAUUUGAUGAAUUUUUGGAAAAAAAUAUAUAUAUAAUUUUUUAAAAUUUAUAAUAUGUUUUUAUAAUAAAUUUUCAAAUUUUGUUAGUUAUUUUUAUAUUUGAAUUUUUAAUUAAAAUUUGAGAAUUAUUUAAAAAAAAAUCCAAAAAAGCCCCUAAAUAACUAUUUUCUUUUCUUUAGCUUUAUCUUGAUUUAUGGCCUUUAAAUUCAAAAUUCCAUAGGUAAUGGUACGAGGAUAUGUUGAUAAGACUAUUAUAGUGAUGUGAUGAACCGUGAUGUGAUGAACCUAAGAAUAUUUCACAAGAUGUUUAAUUAUUUUUCAUAUAUAUGUAUUACAUUGUUAUUCCUAUAAAACUCCACUUUUUAAUGAUCCCACACUCAUUUUCUUUUUAAUCAAAAUCCUAAAAUAAGACUUGAGGUGGAAAAUGCAUGGGAGGUGUUCAAUAUACCUUGAGAAUUGUUAAUCAAAUUAUACACAUAGGAGAAUGAACAAAAAAUAAAAAAAUAAAAUAAAAUUUUUAGCGUAGUUUGACGAUCAAUGUAAUCCUUAUAUCCACAUGAUAUAUUAACACUCAACAAUCUACUAAUUAAAAGGAACAAAAAGAGUUAUAAUGGUUACCUCUUAAUUACAAUCGUGUUUUCUAAAAAACAAAAUCUUAAAACAUAAAAAGGUUAAAUAUAUAAUAAGGACAAACUCGUUAUUCAUUUCAUAAAAUAAAAAAAUAAAAAAAUUCUCCAAUGGAUGUUUGCCCCUUCAAUCCUUGCACGCUAACUAGGUAGCUCAAUCCUUGCAAGUUCAGUAGGGAGCUCAAUCCCCAUGAGUUGAUUGGCCAACUCGACUUCCAACAUUUCAAACGAAACAUAAUAAAAUUGAUUUAGGUUUUACAAUCCAACAAGAAUAAGGUGGUGUUUGUUUUUUUACUUAAUUUUAAAUAGAACCUUAAUACUUAAUAGUAUUAAAUAUUAGAUUGUUUGUUUUUGUAGUAUUUUAUUUCUAUUAAGUAUUAAAAAGUAAAAAAAACCAUUGUGUUAUUUUUUCUAUUUAGAAAAAGUCACAUAUUUUGGCUUUUUCUAUUUAGUAAAAAGUUUAUAAUAAGUCAUGAAAAAGUAAAAAAACAAACAACCUAAAUUCUAAAACUAAAUGGUUUUCAGCAAAAAGCCAAAAAAACAAACACCACCUAAGUCUUGUCAAAGAUUACUUUAAAAUAGUUUUGAGCCUUUACAUGUUAACUUUCAUGACACUUAGAGAGUGUAUGAUUAAACUUUAAACUUAAGGUGUAAUAAUUUUAAGUAAUUUUAAGUUAAAUUAUAGUUAAGUUAUUAAGUCAUUAAAUUGUUUUAGUAAAAUCACUUUUAACCCUUUUUUGUGAUGGUGGAAAAGUUGAUAUAUAAGUUAUCACUAUAGCCAUUCUAUAGAACCAUAUAUGAAAUUUUUCACCUUUUCCAACUUAUUGUUCAAUUUUUUCAAAGUCACUAGAUUAUUUUCCUUGUUCAAGAAUCUCAUCUUUCUUUCUCUUAGUCUCAAAGAGUAAUUAAGAUUAAAACUAUGUUUUCAUAUUCUCAUUGAACACUUUCCAUUUUUUAUUAGUCUCAAAUUAUAAAAGUUUCACCUUUUGCAACUCAUUGUUCAAUUUUUUCAAAGUCAUUGGAUACUUUUUGUUGUUCAAGAAUCUCAUUUUUCUUUCUCUUAGUCUCAAAGAGUAAUUAAAAUUAAAACUAUGUUUUUAUGUUCUCAUUGAACACUUUCCAUUUUUUACUAGUCUCAAAUUAUGGAAGAUCAUUCUUUUUAUCAUCAAUAUGCAGAUGAAAUCAUAAUUUUAUAAUAAAAACAAAAAGAUCUUUCUUUAUCAAUCUUCUUAGAUCUCGUGAUUUGAAUCUAUGAUUUUAACUCUGAUAUCAAUUCCUAAAACAGGUUUUGCCCAUCUCAUCUAAAAACCAAUUGAUAAUCAGUGAGGAUAAAUUAAACAUUUUAUGACAUUCAACAUUACACUUCGUGGAUCCAUUUUAAGAACUAUCAUUUAGGUGACCCAUUCAAGACUUAAAAGUAGUAUUGUUGCACUCCAACAAAUCAUUUUACUCUUAUUCUCCCAAAAUAAAAAAUUAAUAAAAAAAAUAUUUUCAAAUUUGAAAUUGUAAUAUUAAAUUACUUUACCAAACAAACUAAAAAAUAUUUAACAAUUUAAAUUAAGUUAUUAAAUCAAUAAAUUAAUUUAUCAAUUUAUCAAACAUGCUCUUAAACAAGUUAAUGUAACAAGUUAAAUUCUUUUUUUUAGCAUAAAAAAAAAAAAGAAAAAGAAAGAAAAACUUGCUACCAAUGCCCUCAAGUGUUCUCAAGUCUCAAACCUUUAUCUAUGCUAGCCAAUAGGAAAAAUCUAAAGCAACAAUUCCUACCAAAAAUAAGCUAAUACUUUUCCUAAAAUUUUUCCAUAUCAAUUUUUAAAGUUCCCAUAUUUACAAAAUCCUCAUUUAAAUCCAACUCCAUUGCCUUUUUGUCUGACUCUCUUCUCACCUCUCCUUUUUAACUCUUCCCUCUUCUUCAACUCAAAUAUCUUCCUUUCACGGGAGACGUGACAAAAAGGAGAAAAAAUAAAAAUAAAAAAAAGUGAUGGAAUGAACCCGUGAUCUUUUAACCUCUUAAUUUUUAAUUUUCCUCACAUCCCAUGUGAUAACCAAUUAAACCUAGUCCACUUCAAGCCCUGCUAGUAAAAAGGACAAACAAUUUAGAAGUUAGAAGUAGGGUUAGCUCCUACUCAAGAUUGAGAGGUCGACAGCAUGCAGCCAUCACAAUAUACAUAAUAUAAUAAGGCGACUAGUGAUGAAAUGAAAAACACGGGCGCAGCUUUAUUACUAGCUUUCCCACCAUGACAAGAAAGUGAAAGAAAAUGGAUUUCAUCUGAAUUUUAUAUCAAAGAAGAUCAUCAAAAUCCCAGUAUUCAAUUCCAGUUUGAUGGGCUCCACUAAGAUCUCCUUUAGCAAACAGUGGAUUUCUCAGGAGAUUUGGAGUUAUCAACCACUAUAAAAAUAAGCCAUGAUAUUGUCAUUUGUAAUGCAUUCUCAUAAAGGGAAAAGCUUGAUUAUCUUGACAGAAUCGUUUUUCUUUUCCAUUCUACAUUCCACAUAAUGAAGAGAGAGGGGAGUCGGCAAAAUAUAUAUAUACAUAUAAGUGUUUGUCUGCAUUCUUUUAACCCUAUGAUGAGAGCUCAGAAGUAGUGUUUUCUCUGUGCAUGCGUCAACAAAGAGGCUGUAAAUGUAAAUAAAGAAUUGGUAUCCAGGCUUUGCUUCCGGUUAAUGGGUUAUGGGUUAUGGGUUGCUUUUUUCUCUUCAAUGGAAGUUGAUGAUUACUUUUUCUCAUUUUAAUGAUGAAAAUAUUGAGGAAAUAAAUAAAUGAUUGGUGUAGUUUAAGGAAGAAAAAAAAAACUUGAUACUGUGUACACAUGUUUAUUGUUGUUGUUGUUAACUUUUAACUUUAAUUUGAUUUUCAAAGGAAUUAAAAAUACAGGAAAAAACUUAUGAUAACAUGCUUAGAGCCCGUAGUCAAAGCAUUUUUGUUGGAAGUUUUUUUUUUUUCUACAAUGUUUUUGUAAAAUACAUUUUUAUGAGAAAUUGAAAAAAUAAUUAUAAUAGUAUUUUUAAUAAUUUGUCUUAUAAGUAUUAAAAUGCUUUUGAUAUUAAUAAAUUACCAAAAAAGAUAUAUAAUUUAAUUAUAAAAAAUCGGGAGUUUUACAUUAUAAAAGAAUAUAUGUAUAAAUAUUUAUACGAUUAAAAAGCUAAAAAUAAUCAUUUUUUAUGAUUACAAGAAAAUUUUUUAAAAUGGAUUAAUAAAUAAACAUCAAUUAUUGUAUAACAAUUUUUUAUCAUGGAAUAAUGGGUGGCGGCUAACCAAUAUUUAAAAGACUUCUUAAAUUGUGUUUAUCUAAAAUUGAAAGAUUUGAAAAAAAAAAUGUUUACAUAACUUCAAAAUUUUGUUUUUACCCAUGAUUAAAGAAUUCCUAAGGUUCCACGUUGAGGAUGGGUGAUGAUAUGAUGUUGGAUACAUGUUGGGUUAUUGACUUGUAUUAAUAAUAUAUGGUUAGCUAUCUUUUGACAUGCAUAUUUCCGGAAUACUCGAACCCCUGUACCCCUGAUCUAGGGCAUGGAAAAAGAUAUCAUAACCACUUGGACUAAUUUUCAAUAUAUAUAUAUACACACAAAAUAUUAAAAUAAAGCUUUAAUAAAUAAUUUAAUUUUAAUUAUCUUAUAUUUAAAUUCAAUUUAACUAAGUAGUAAAAAUAUAAAAAUUAUUACCAUAAUUUUUUUAAUGAAUUUUUCAAUAUCCUUUUAUCUUAAUUAAAUAUAAUAGAAAUACAAAUUUAAAAAUAAAAUUAUAAACAUUUUAGUAUAUAUAUCAAUAUAAAAUGUAUUUUCAAGUUCUAUAUAUUAUUAAUUUAUUAUCAAAUAUCACAAAAGAUAUUAUACAUAUAUAUUUAAAAAUGAUUAUUUGAAUAUGCACAUAAUAUUUUUUUUCUUAAAAAAAUUCUUCUAUUGUUAUUUUCUUUCAAAAUUCAAUAAUUUUUAAUAUAUUUUGAUAUAUUUUUAAAAUCAAAUUAUCGUUAUAUUCGAAGAUAUCGAAAAGACAUGCACAUCUUAAUAAUUCAAAUUUUAUAAAUAAAAUUUGUAGAAAAUGAUGAUACAUGCAUCCAUCAUAUCAUAUCGUGGCUUUGUGGUUUGAGUGAUUAGAAUCAAAGGCCAAUGUGAAAACCCCAAGCAGCCGGUGCCAUCAUAGCCAUGGAAUGUGGUUGUCAAAUUGCAUACCCUCUGACAGCAAUCAUUUUGGGCUGAGGAAAAAUGUUGAAAAUGUUUUAGAGUUGUGAUUUGUGAAGGAGGAGUGGGUGUUGAACUAAAUGCCACGGGGCUUUGACGAAACACCUAACCAUUACUCUUUUCAGUGGGAAAAGAAUUUCCUCUGCAUUUGAUUCAUACACAGCGUAAUUUGGAAGGGGUUGAAGCAGUGGAAGGUCAACGCCUUCAUGAUGAACCUGAAUGCUGCUAGUCUUGCUUUUUUUCUUCAUGGGGACAGCCAGAUUGGACCUUUUUCCUAGGGAAGUUGAAAGUUUAACCAAACUAUAAUUACUCUCGAGAAGAAGAAAAUGUUUGGGUUUUUUAAAUUCUGAGGCAAAGAAAAUAAAGAAAAAAAAAAGGUUUUAAAUUUAAUAAGUUAUUUUUAUAUAUUUUUUUAUUUAUUUUAUUAUUAUAUAGAGAUUAAAUAUUUAAAAAUAUAUAAAUUUUUUUAUCAUUUUUAUUUGUUUUUUUUAGCAUUUUUUUUAAAAACAUAUUUUUUAGGAAUCAAAGCCAAAAAUUGUGGUGUGGUGCUUCUUUUUCUUUUGAGAUGGUCUGAGGAGGAAACGUUCAAAGUUCUUGGAUUCAAAUGUUUUGACAAAAGUGUUGUUCUGUGAUAAAAUGGUAUACUUUUGGAAAUGCUUUUCAGUAGUCUGUCCAUGUGUGGUUGAAGUGGAAAAUUUGCUAGAAUUGGUCAGAAAACUAGCAUCACUGUUUUCCUAAAUGGUCACGAGGCAAAGUCAAAAAGAAUGCUCCACUACUCGUGAUAAGGUAAAACACGAGUUCAGACCCAUCUUAGUCUAGUGGAUUCGGAAGUUUCUACGACCCAUUUACAUUUGAUUAGUGGUUUUUAGAACCAUUAGGACGAUAAUGAACAUCAUGGGAAUCCAAUUUGUGUUAAGAUCAUGGUCCUUUGGGCCCGCCCACCCAUGGUUACCAAAAUCACGGGGUGACUACCUCGUCAGGCAUAGCCAUAGCCAGCCCAAGUAAUCCAGAGACUACCCGUGAUUGAAAUCGAAUGUAUUGACAUAAAUGUUGUGUUUUGCCAGACUUGAAUGCAAAUGACUUUAGUUCUUCCAUUUAUUGCAAAUGCAAAGCCCCAUAGAAUGUUACCAUGAAAUCGAUAUUAGAGUCGAUUCAUUACCUAAUAGCCAAGUUUUUUGGUCGGAUUGGUAGCUUAAUAACUUCUUACAAGAAUAACUUCCCAGUGAAUUCAUCAUCCUAUUGGACACAAUCAGCAAAAUGAAUUCAUAUCGUGAGAAAAGAAACAGCCCCCUUGGAAGGUGGUUUUGAGUUGAAUAUAUCAUGUUUUCGGAUUUGAAAAUAUGAAACGAAAAUGACCCAAUUCUCCAAUGUACUUUUUUUACCCGUAGAUUUUGAGUUUUCUACUAAUGCUUUUUGAGUCUCUAGGCGGCAUGCUCUCAGAGAAGUGAACCAUAGGUUCACAAAGAUUAAUGCUUAAACACGUCUUUCAUGCUUCAUGUCUAUCUAUACAUGGAGCUUCAUAGAAACCCAGCAUCUCCUCCAUAGCUGCUGCUUUUUAGACAAGGCAGAAGGUAUGAACCAUUGAAAACAUUAAGCACAGUGUUAUUAUUCCAUACCAGAUGCAAUGAGAAAUAAGAGGAUGAGUAGGACAAAUCCCUUUGAUCUCUAUAAAAACUACUUUCGAUGUAAUUGCCACCAUAUCAGAGGAAGAAGAAUCAUAUAUGAAAACCACUUUUCUGAUCUGAUGUAACCAUUAGAAAAACAUGUAAAUAGAAGUUUGUUUUCCUGGUUUGGAGAGGACAAUAUCGUGUUUCUACCGCUAUGCAUUCAUUAGUUCUCCACAAGGAAUAUGGUUACAAUAUUCAUUUAAGUUAUAUUUAGUUCCUUAAAAAUAUUAAAAAAAAUUGUUUUAAUCAUAUUUGAUUUCACCAUAAAAAAUAAAUAUAUAUAAAAUUAAUUAAAAUUUUAUAUAUUUUAAAAUUAUUUCAUCUUUAUGAAAAAUAAAUUUAAAAGAACAUAUAAAAAUAAUUUAUUGAUUUUAAAUCUAUUUUUUUUAUUUUUCUUUAUUUUUUCUUUUCUUUACUUUUACGGUCUAUUUUCUUUCCUUCGAAUUCAUCAAAGUUUCCAGCCUUAGUAUUAUUUUUUUUUUUUUUUUUUUUUUGAUGAAAACAUAAUAUGCAUAUUUAUAGGAAACCUCAGAACUAAAACGAUUGACAUUUAUCAAUGGCAUUCAAAUACAUCACAAACAGAUUAACAGGUCUGCAAUAGGAAGAUAUCAAAAUCACCAUGAUAAAUGAGAAAGAUGCAAAAACAUGGGAGGAAUGGCUUCUUCCGGAUCAUGAUUUUUCUAGAAUUUAAGGUUUUUCUUCCUUAUUCAAAACUGCAUAAAUGCCUCUUCAAUCCUCAUCAGAUUAGUUAUAAGGCUUAAAUUACCAAGGCAAUGGAGAAAAAGGGAGAAGGCAUUCAAGAAAGGCACGAAUAUGCCAGCUCCUUUUCCUCACUAAGCUCCUGUGCGGUCAAGUCCAACUUCUUCCUUGAGAACUCAUCAAUGUGAAGUCCUGAGACAAUUUUGGGGGAAGAGAGAGGGAAAAAAAAACAGUAACUGAAUAAGCUAUACCAUUGACAUGAAAUUGCUAAUAGAAGUUAAUAAGCAUGCUUCAACAGUAACUAACAAGGCUAAGACUAAGGACCUCACAUACAUGGCCAGAAGUAGACAAAUUCUUGACAGCAUAAACUUAAAAAGCUUAAACAAAAGUAGGUUCAACCAGCCUUGAUGUUCUAUUUUCAAUUGAAACCAUAAUUCAACAUGCAACAACACUCUAGGCAACAAUCACAAAUCUUUAGACACUGUAUUUAUGUUGAAGAAGAAAGAAUUAGCACGACUCAUGAUAUAAAAGAACGAGGUUCAAAGAGAAGAUCACUCUUAGUUGCUAAACAAAAGUGAACUGUUGGAAUUGGAAACAGGUUGCCAGGCAGUAGAUCAGAAGGGUUCCAAAUAUAGGACUAGAAAACAUAGUUAGGGGGUAUAAUACUGAUGUUAAAUCAUGGAUGCAGAAUACAGUAGGUAUCAAAGGGCAGAAAAUGAGCACCUGGUACCUAAAGUUGUAUCUUAUAAUGCAAAGCAAAUCAUAUCAAAGUUCUCUUAAAUCAAAACCAUGUUUCUAUCCUAAACAUUUUCCAUUCAUGGAAUGUCAACAAUAAUUGUAAGCCAAACAUCCCAAGAAUGAAGAAGAAGAAGAAGAAAAAUGAUGUAAAGCAAAUCAUAUAUUUGGCCAUCCAGGAAUUAUUUGGAAUAAAAAACAAUAAAAAAAUAAAAAAAUAAAAAAAGCAUGGAAUCUUCGCAAUUAUUUGCAAAGUUCAUGGUUUCCAUAUGGAAAUCACUGAUCACUUUUUUAAAUAAAAGGAAAAUGAAUAGAUUAAGGUUAUGUUUGGUUCCCGGAAAGUACCAAGGAAAGAAAAAAAAUGCGAAGAAAAAUGAUUUUCUCAUGUUUGAUUUCACUAUAAAAAUUUUUAAAGAAAAUUAAAUAUAAUUAAAAUUAGUUAGAAAUUUAUACAUUUUAAAAUUAUUUAAUCUUUAUAUAAUGAAGGAAAUUAAGUGAAAUGAGUUUGAAAAAACAUAUAAAAAUAAUUUAUUAAUUUUGAAUUUAUUUUUUAUUUUCUUUCAUUUUGUAUUUCCUUCCACUUUUCCUCUCUUUUUUCUUUCUCUCACAUUUUCCCCAAAAUUUCUGGGAACCAAACAUAGCAUAAAUGUUCUCAGAAAAUGGUGAAGAUUCCAAAGAGCACAAGCAUUUUGUCAUAGUGCAUAAUUGUUACCUUGUACAAUCUUCCAUUCACCAGCACAGCAGGUUACAGGGAAGGAAUAGAUAAGCCCUGCUGGAACAUUGUAUGAACCAUCAGAGUACACACCCAUGGACACCCAAGUUCCCUAAAGUCGCAAGGAGAAAAUCAAAUGCAUCAGAUACACCACACACAAUCUAUUACUGGAAGCAUACAGAUGUAAAAGCACUAACAAGAAACAACCUCUGGAGUUCCAAGCACCCAAUCACGGAUAUGGUCACAUGCAGCACUUGCAGCAGAUAAAGCACUCGAGAGCUUUCGUGCUUUGAUAAUUGCAGCACCACGUUGUUGGACAGUGGUGAUAAAUUCCCCAUUCAACCUUCAUGAAUGAAAAUGUAAAAAUGAUUAGAUAAAUUUAAAUAAAACAAAAAAAUACUAAUUAAAAGUAAACAUGACUUAUGCCCCAUACCAUGCAUCAUCACCCACAAGCCCCCGCACAGGUUUCUCACCAGCUGGGGUUUUGACAGUAGCAUGGUUGACAUCGGGAUACUGAGUUGAAGAGUGAUUUCCCCAUAUGAUAACAUUCUUAACAUCGGAUACUUGAACAUUCAGCCUUUCAGAGACCUGACCUAGUGCCCUGUUAUGGUCUAGUCUUGUCAAACAACUAAUGUUUUUCUCAGGAAUUGAUGGUGCAAAUUCCUUCAGGAUCAAGGCAUUUGUAUUUGCUGGGUUAGCAACAACCAAAACCUGAAAUAAAUGAAUGAAUGAAUAAUAAAUAAAAUUGAUUGGAAAAACACAGAAGAAAAGAAAGAAGCAUUGGCCAAGGAGUGUGGGUCACUUCCAAGUAAAAGUAUUCCCUGGUAACUAUUAAGGUGGUUCAAUCUUCACUCAAGUGCAUGAUUUUAUCAAGAAAGAAAAUUCGAAACAUGAUAUAAUCUUCAGCACCUUGCAAUUUGCAGCUGCAUGAUUUUCAAGUGCAGAGGCCUGAGACUUGUAGAUGGAAACAUUUUUGGACAUCACAUCUUUCCUUUCCAUUCCUUCUUUCCUUGGGAAGCCACCAACCAUGACAGCAAUAUUGACUCCAGUGCAUGCCUCAACAACAUCAGUUGUAGCAACAACACCUGAAAAAAAAUUAGAACUCAGUAUUGUUGUCAUCAUUUUGACUGAUAUGUAAUCACAGCAUUUCAUGGAAGAAAAGAAAAUUACCUUUAAGAAGUGGAAAAGCAGCAUCCACCAAUUCCAUUUUGACCCCAUUUAAGGCCUCUGCAGCAGGAGGGAUAUCAAGCAUGUGCAGAAUCACAGGCUGAUCAGCACCCAACAUCACUCCCCUAGCAAUCAUGGGGACAAGUGCAUAUCCAAUUUGUCCUACAAAUCAAAAUCAUUUUACCACAACAAAAUCAGUUAAAAGAAAUUGAACAGGAAAAGAGGAACAUCAAAAUGGACUAUAUCGAAUCUAGGUCUAAUUUCGGUUGGUACAUGAAUUUAGCACAUCAAAAUAUGAUGAACUGAUCUUUUUUAACAAUUGCAUGAUUAAUAAAUGCUUAAACCAACUAAAAUCAAAUCCAACUACGGCAUUUUAAAGGCAUAGUCUCUAUACAAGUUGAGCACAAUGAAAAGUGCAAGCAGUUGAAUAAAAACGAUCUUUGAGUAUACAUGCAAUUUACUGUACAUUACGUAUUAAAUUAAAAGCAGAUGAUUUACAUAGUAAAAGCAGCACAUACAACGCCAACUAUCUUUCUACUCCACAAAAAACAAUUAAUUUACAGAAUGAAAGCAGCUUUCAAGAAGCAUAGUCAUACUACACUAAAGCGUAGUCAUACUACACUAACUCUGGUAGAGUUUACCUCUCAUCACUGAUAACAAGAGAUGAAAAGAGAACUUAAAAUUUUGGAUCCAACGCUUAAGUUUUUUAUUAUCUAUUUUCGUUGUCAAAACCAAAACAACAUUAACAUAAUAUUCUGAAAUCAUAUUCUGUUUCCCAAACUUUUCCCAAGCUUCCUUUGGAUCAUAGGUUGGAAGGAAAGAUGCUGAAAAUGGAUUUUCCCUAAAUCUAUUUUCAGCAUUUUCGUUUCCUUUCAGUCAUUUUAUCCGAGAGCCAAACGCAACCUUAUCCAGAGACUCAAAAACAGUCAAAAGAACCAUAAAGAGUAGUUCAUGAUCCACUAAGAAACUUGCUAAAAACACUAAUCCACCCACAAUAGACAGAAGUAUUCAGAUCGCCAGAUCAGAAAACACAACACUCAGCAGAAACAACCGAUUCGAUCACAAACACCACCACAACAUCAAGCACCGAUGCAAUUAUAGAGCAAAAACCACGAUUGAUCCCUAAUUUUUUCAGAUCAAAAACCGAUUCAACAAAAUUAUUACGCAAAUCACAAGAUCUAUAGUAGCCCUCAGCUUUUACCCUCAAAAAAGCAACCAACACAAAGAAAUGGGAAACAAAAAAGAAAAAACAAAAUAAAACAAAACAGAACAACUCUUGCUUUCUGAGCAACCAAACAGCGGAAUCAUGGAGAAGAGAACCGUAGAUCUUGUGGUACCUGCGGCUCCAGUAACGAGAACGCGAACUGGUUCUUUGGCCAUUGUAGGAAUCGCAGGGGAGCACGGGAGAGGAAAACGACGCCUACAAAUCUAAUCUGCCUGUACACUAACCACUGUGUGUGUGCUCAAUUUUAUAGUAGAAUUUACUGCGUGCCGCUGCUUUUCGUCAAACCAGAGGUUUGGCCACGUGGCACAUCCUCAGCCAUCAUAUUUAGAAAAUUAUCAAAGAGGAUGGGCAUUUUAAGAUGUCAAUUUUAUCCUUUAACCUUUUUACGGUUACUCCUUUGCUUCCUAUGUUGAAAAAAAAAUUGGAAAAGUAGGUAAUGAAAUAUAUAUAUAAAAAUCAAGAAAAAUAGGUUAAAAGAUAAUAAUUAAAAACUCAAUAUUUUUUAUAUUAUUAUAAGAAAUUAAAUAAUUUGCUCAUUUUAUUAUAAGAAAUUAAAUUUUUUGAAAUAUACUUUUCUCAAAAAAAAAUUAAAACUUGAGAUUUUUGUAGACAAUUAGUAAAAAAGGAAAUUUAAUUUUUAUUUUCUUUAGAAUGAAAACCAAACCCUAAGAUUUCUAUGCACAAAUUUUACAUAUCCUAAUAGAAUGAAAAAUUACUUCCUCCAAGGACUAAUAAAUUAAUUAGCACAUCAAAAAAUUAAAAAUUAAUAAAAUUAGGUUAUAUUGUAGUAUAUUGUAAUAUUAAUGUAUUUGUAUUAUAAGUGUUUAUGCAUUAACGAUUUUUGUGAUAAAAUUAAUAAUUUAAAAAAUAUCUAUUUAUACUCUAUUGGUAUUAAUACAUUAUACUAAUAUAUUAACAUCAUUAACUCGGUCCAUUGAAAUUAUUUAAUCAUUUAAAAAAAAUUACAAGUCUGAUGAAUUUUAAAUUAUUGGUUUCAUAAAAGUUCAAAAUUUUCUCAAUUGAGUUUUGUUGUAAUAUAUAUAUAUAUAUAUAUAUAUAUAAAUAUUAUAACAGAAGUAACAAUAUUAGAGAUAUUUUAAACAUCAUUUUUAACGAUAUUUGGUUUCAUAAAAGAAACCAAAUACAUUAAUUUGAAUUCACGAGACUUGUCAUUUUUUUUUUAAAUAAAAAUGAUUAAACAAUUUCAAUGUAUUGAGUUAAUGAUAUUAAUUCAUUGAUAUGAUGUAUUAAAAUAAUAGGGUAUAAAUAGGUAUUUUUAAAAUAACUGAUUUUAUUAUAAAAGAUAUAUUGGACAUAAAUGUGUUAUAUUUAUAAUAUAAAUAGACUAACAUUAUAAUACAUUACAAUAUAAUCUUCUUCUUCUUUUUUAAUCUUUUUAUGUGAUAUACUACUAAGCUAAUAAUCGUACAUUAUUCAAUUGAUUAAUAUUCAUGAAAUUAACUAGUCAUUAUAUUAGGAUAACAAAGUUUUUACUUGGUCGUAAGCAAUUGUUAAAAUUUAUCAUUCGAUGCACAAAUAGCAUAGUAAGCUUAGAGUUUGGUUUUUAUUUUAAAGAAAUUGAAAAUUAAAUUUCUUUUUUUUUUUUUCUAGGUUCUCUACAAAAAUCUCAAAUUUUUAAUUUUUUAAUUUUUAGAAAAGUAUAUUUCAAAUAAUUAAUUUCUUAUAAUAAAAUAAGAAAAAAAAUGAGAUAAUUUUUUAUAAUUUUUCCUUUGACCUUUUUUCUUGAUUUUAUAUUUUUUUUCUUAUUUAUUUAUUUUCUAUUUUUUUCAUUUUUCCAAAAAAAAAAAAAAUUCAACCUCAUAUAAGCUAAGGAGAAAUGAAAAUUUUGUGAAAUAAAGGAUAAAGUUGUAAUUUCAUUACUUUUACAAAUUUUUUUUAAUCCUAUGCAAGCAAAGGAGUAAUGGUAAAAAGAUUGAACAAAGGGUAAAAUUGACAUCUUAAAAUUUGGGUCCUUCUUAAUUUUCUUUUUUCUAAAUAUCCUUUUAUAUCUUGCUAUUUUUGCCACCUAUUCGAAGAAAAUCAAUAGCUUUUGACAAUAAAUAUAAAUUUCUACGUUUUUAUUUCAAAAAUAAUAUCUAAUAAAAGUUCUUAAAUAUGAAAAAAAAAGUGUUUUUUUUUUACUUAUUCUUUACUAAGACAUCACAUACUUACCUACAAUAUAAAUUUUUAAAAAAUAUUUUCUAGAUUUUUCAUCAAAAAAACUAAAAAUGCUUAAAAUCUUUUUUAAAAAAUAAUUUAUUUUCAAAACAAAUAAAAAAAAAAACUGUCCAUUUUGUUGAGAUUUUUUCCUUCUUUUUUUCUUUCUCUCAGUUCAAAGUAAUCAAUUUUUAAUAAAAGUUUUAAUUAUUCUAAGCUUAAAAAUUUAACAUUAGAAAAUAAUGUAAAAAUAAUUAAUUCUCUACCAUUCUUAAUAUACCAUGUUUGGUUGAUGAAACAUAGCAUUAUCUAUCCCAUGUUUAACCAAACCCUGGAUAAAAUAGGUGGUAUGAUAUAUCAUCCACUUUCAUUUUUAUAUCCUUUCCAUGGAUAUGUAAAUCUUAAGUUAAAAUAUAGGAGAUAGGAUAUGUAUAUACCACGGAUCAUAAAUUUAUUUAUUAUUAUUUUGUUUAAUAUUACUUAUUUUGUAAAAUAUAAAAUUUAUUUAAAAAAUAAAUUUACAAUUAAAAAAUAUUAAUAUAUGUAUUUUUAAUAUAUAUAUAUAUAUAUAUAUAUAUAAUUCAUUUUACAAACUAAUUAUAAGUAUAACAUAAUAUACGUCAUUGAAUAAACUGCCUUAUGAUGUAAUGUCCAUUUGAUAUAAUAUUUUUAAAUUAAGAAAUAAUUAAUCUAAUACUAACUUGAUCUGAUAUAUAAUUCAAAGUAUUUAAUUCAAAUCCAAUUCAAUCUCAUUUCUCUAAACUUGAGUUUAGUUCAGGUUGAUCAUAUUAUAUAAUUCAAAAUCCAUCCAUUAUGUUUUUUAAAUUUUUUUUUACAUAUAUAAUAAAACAAACUUUCAAGAUAACCACAAAAAUAUAAAAUAAAUCUAUAUAUUUUUCUAAAAAAAUAAAAAAGUAUAUGAUAUAAUAUAAUUUGAUAUUAUUUUUCUUUAAAAAUCUAAAAGAAAAAUUAGUAUUAUUAUAUACGAUAAUAUACAUAAUAAUCAUAACAUUAAAUCAAAUUAAGUUCAGGGCGGGUUGGACCACCCUGUCGUGUCCAAAAGUUUGCAUCCAUAGUUGGAGCCCAUACACUCAAGGAGGAAAAUAUCGGGAUAUAUCGGCGAUAUAUUGUGUAUCGGGAGGGGUCGACACGAUAUUUCGUGAAGAAAAAUCAAAGGGGAGAUAUUUCUGUAAAUAUCGCCAAAAUAUCGGCGAUAUAUCGGUUCGGAGAGAUAUAUCGGAGAUUUUUUGAAAAAAUCGCCUCUGGUGGUAAAAUAUCGGUAAUAUAUCGGCGAUAUAUCGGAGAUAUAUCGCUGAUUUUUUGGGUGAUAUUUCCCCUCCUUCAUGCAACGUGAUCUGACUGCCCAGAUCACGCCCGUGUUGAUCCGAACGGCCUAGAUGUGAUUCCAAUGGUAAUAUGGCGAUCCAACGGCCAGAUUGCUCCCAAUUUUUUUAUCCAACGGCCAAAAUUGAUUUUCAACAGUAAAUUAAUGUUCCAACGGCUAUUUUGGCCCAAAUUUAUUCUAUAAAUAGCCCAAAUUUCAUCUAAUUUUGCUUUCAUUCUUUAUUUUCUCUCUCAUUACUCCAAUCUUUAUUAAGGUUGCUCAAUUAUUUAAUCAUUUUAAGGUAUAUUUGUUUUAAAUUGUAAUUAAUUUUGUUUGCAAUUGUAAUUAAUUCAUGUAUUUUCAAUUAAUUAGUAUGUUUGCAAUAUAGAUUAUUUAAUGCUAUUUUUACAUUCAAUUGCAAUUAAUUUUUAUAUUUUUAUUGAAUUAACUUAGGUUAAUUUGAUUAUUUAAUUAUAAAUUGAUAUGUUUAUUUUAGAUGAUUAUUUGUGAUUUAUUUUCACAUUUAGAAUUAAAUUAAACUAGUUAACUUAGCUAAAUUAUUUAAUUAACAUGCUAAAUUAUUUAAUUAAUUUAAUUAACAUGAACUAGUAUAUUUUGAAUAUGAAAUAUGUUUAUUUAAUGAAUUUAAUGUGUACAAAUUAUUGAUAUUUAAUGAAAUGAAAUAUUUUAUGUGACUUUAUAAUGAGAACAAUUACAAAAUUAACAUUUCUUAUAGAUCGACAUGAUAUAAUUACAUCUAAUAUUGCAAAUUAUAUCAUAUAUAUAUAUAUAUAUAUAUAUAUCAAAUUUUUCAAUAAAACAACUUUAAAAUGUUCAUUAUACUUCUAAUUAUAUUAUUAUGAGAUUUUCCUUACAUUUCCAUGAGUUUUUAGCAAUUUUAAGUCUAUCGAUAUUUGUUUCCAGAAUAUACACCGAUAUAUCCGAUAUAUCCGUAAAAUCGAAAUACCGAUAUAUCCGUAAUUACCGAUAUUUUCAUCCUUGCAUACACGUUGUUGUUGAAAAUAAUUUUAAUAAAAAGUUUUAUUUUUUGAAAUUUUCUAAUCAACAUAAUAACAAUCUUACAUUUAUAAUAAAUUACUCAUAUUUAUAAUAUAAGUUUAAUGUAUAAUUAAAUUACAAUUUGCAAAUAAAAUAUGAAACUAAAGAAAUAACAAUUCCAAAUGCUUCUCAGGUUCAAAAAAUUCUUCUAAUUUAACUUUAAAUCAUAUUAAUAUUUUCAACAACCUUCAUUAAGCUAAAUUUUAAAAUCAACUAUACUAAGCAUCAAUCACUUUCAACUCUUCUAACAAAAUGGCUUUGUAAAGAUAUUUACAACUUGAUCUCACAUUGAUGCAUAUAACCAUUAUAUCACUAAUAAAAUUUGACUUGAUGUCAAGUGUAAGCUAAAAAUGACAUAUUUGAAAGUAUGAUGUUGUAGUUUUGUAAGUGUCAAUCCACACGUACAAGAGCAUAAUUUUUUGCUUUAGUUCAUACAAUGCCUUAUAAAGUCAAACUUGCUUCUCUUACCCUUAAUAUUUCAUAAUAUGUUGACUCUGGUAAGCUAUAGUAUCCACUAGUCAACGUGUGUAUGUAGACAUGCAUGCCCCGAUUGAUUCUAUGACCAUUCAAAGUAAGGGAUGAUGUAAGAUCAUAAGCACUUCAUAUUCAUGAUCCAUCCCUUCCGAUAAAACUAUUUUAUUAUUCAUGAAGAAGACUAAACAAAUUAUGCUAUCACUUUUUAUUUCAUUGUAUACAGACGUAUAAUCGUACAUUUUUAUAAACUAAACAUUAAUGUAAAAUUAAUCUAAAAUCCAACUGAAUUGGAAUUUAACUUAAGUCGUGUGAGUGUUUAUUUAGGUUGAUAAUUUUGGAUAAAAAUUCUUAAACAUCUCCUAACUCGGGUUUUCUAAAUCAUUCCUUAGACUACUUGCCUAAUAAAGAUCAAGAUGUUGAAAAUGCUUAAAGGUCAAAAUAAGUAGUUGAAGAUGUAGGUGAAUGUGAAUCAACAAGUAUUCAAAUUGCUAUUUUUUUUCUUAACCUACUUAAAAAAAUAAUAAUAAUAAGGAAGUCAAGGCAAUGAUUUUUUUUUUUUUCCUUUUUUACUAAAAUAUUUUUGUGCCUUAUUCUCAUAUUGAUUUGGAUUUAAGUAAGAUCGAUCAAUCUUUUGUUGGAUCUAUUUUUAAACAUUGGGUCAACGGUUUCCUUUCAUAUUUAACUCAAAUGUUUCCAAUUUAAGAGAGGAAACACCAACAAUCGUUCUAACUCCCCUUGAGCUCUCUCUUUCUUCAAUCAAAUUGGAAGUAUUUGGUUUCCAAAAAAAUCCUCCUUACCUAUAUUUUCAAAUCAUUUUUCAAUUUGAUUUUCUUAAAAAGGGGUUGAUUCAUAUCAUUUAUUCAUCUCUCAUUUUUUUUAUUUGUUUGACAUAGGAUGAAAAUUCAGUUUCUUCUUAUGUGGAUUCAAGAAGGGGCCAAGAUUAAGCUUAAUGUAGACUCUAAAUGUGCUCCGAAAGAACAUGUGAAGUUUAAUUUGGGAAAUACUAAUUAAGUAGUCCAAUAAUGAUAAAUAGACUUAAGUUAGAUAAAACCUUGUACCUGAUUAUGCUUCAUAAUAAAAGCUUUUGAUCGUUAAUAGAUCCCUGGUUUUUGGUCUCUUAGGUGACUUUCCAUGUUAAAAUUUGGUGUUAUUGUAUCUCUCUCAUUCUUCUAUUUUGUUUAUUCCUAUUUAUUAACCUCAAUUUCAUACUUCGACAUAUUUGGUAGAUGGGUGAAAAAUGAACUAAAACGAGUUUGAUUAUUCUUUGAAAAUCUUGAAUAAUUUUCUAUUCAAUUUUAUUAUGAUAUCAAAUAGUAAUUAAAAAUAUGCUAAGAAGUUAAUUGUUCUUGUGAAUUUAGCUUGGGCAAUCCAUGUACAUAUGAAUUACAUUUAUAAAUUAUUGAGAGAGUAUUAUUGUAUUGAUACUUGUAUGUGAUUUUUAGUUUUUAUUUUUUAAAUGAUUAGAAGAGAAGGGUAUAAACUAUGAAAAAUCUAAAGAAUAGAUAAUAUGUAUUUCCGGACCUCUUGAAUUUGUUUAAAAAACACCUAUUUACUCCCCUUCUCGGUGUAGUACAUCAUUAAGAUUCAUCCUCAAAUUAUAAGUGGGUUACAUCAAUUUAUAAUGCAACAAAAAUUAAAAACCUAGUAUAAUUAUUGUUGUUAUUGAUGUAUUAAGAUUAAUAUGGUGAAUUCGGACAAUCAAAUUUAAAUAAAGCUGACAAUAAUUUUCAAUGGUGUUGACAUCAUUAUAUUGAAAAGUAAAAAUUAUUUUAAAGCAACAAAAAAUAAAUAGAUAAAAAUGAGUAAACUAUAUGCAAGAAACCUGUUGAAGUUGCCAAGAUUGAGAUUGAAAGAAUUAUUUUAAGGCAAAACAUAUGAACUGUCGAAAACAUUUAGCAGAGUGUUUUUAUUCCAUGUAGAUGCAUUUAGAAAUAGGGUCAUGUGAGGAAAAAUUAUAUGAAAAUUAAUUUUUUGAAGUAAUCUGCAACUUUAAGAAAACCUGUAAAUAGAAGUUUGCUUCUUUGGUUGGAGAGGACCACAUUGUGCUUUUUCUCUGGUAUACACUAUUUUUUCCCGGUAUCUGCAAAUAAAUUGUUACAGCAUAACGUGUAUAAUCAUUUUUUAUUUUUUACUUUUGAUGAAUAAAUAAUAUGUAUAAUCAAAUGAAACCUCAGAACUAAAACAAUUAACAUUUAUCAAUGGCACUCAGCACAUUACAAACAGAUUAACAGGUCUGCAAUAAGUAGAGAUCAUCAGAAUCACCAUGCAUAAAUGAGAAAGAUGCAAAAACAUGGGAGAAAUUGCUUCUCCCCGAUCAUAAUUUUUUGUGGAAUUUAAGGUUUUUCUUCCUUAUUCAAAACUGCAGAAAUGCCUCUUCAAUCCUAAUCAGAUUUAUUACGAAGCUUAAAAUUACCAAGGCAAUAGAGAAAAGGUAGAAGGCACAUUCAAGAAAGGCACGAGUAUGCCAGCUCCUUUUCCUCACUAAGCUCCUGUGCAGUCAAGUCCAACUUCUUCCUCGAGAACUCAUCAAUAUGAAGUCCUGAGCCAAUUUGAGGGCAGAGAAAGAGAAAAAAAGAUAAGGAGAACAGAAUAAGCUAAUCCAUUGAUACGAAAUUGCUGAUAGAAGCUAAUACACAUGCUUCAUCUGUAGCUAACAAGGCUUAAGGACCUCACAUACGUGACCAGAAGUAGACAAGUUCUUGAGAACAUAAACUUGAAAAGCUUAAACAAAAGUAGAGGUUCAACCAGCUCUGACGUUUAAUUUCAAUUGAAACCAUAAUUCAACAUGCAACAACACUCCAGGUAACAAUUAUGAAUCUUUAGACACUGUAUUUAUAUUGAAGAAAAAAGAAUUAGCAUGACUCAUGAUAUAAAAUAUGGUCUCUGAAGAUGCUUCAAUCAGUAAAACAAAAGAACAAGUUUCAAAGAGAAGAUCACUCUGUUGUUGCUAAACAAAAGAAAACCCGUUUGAAUAGAAAAUAGGUCGCCAGCCAGCGGAUCGGAAGGGCUCCAAAUAAAGGACUAGACUACAUAGAUAGGUAUAAUAGCAGAUGUUAAAUUCUGGAUGCAGAAUACAGUUGGUAUCGAAGGGCAGAAAAUAAGCACGUAGUACCUAAAGUUGUGUUUUAUGUUUCAUAGGUCCAAUUCAAAUGAACAAGGAAGAAGAGAUUUAGUCAAAACAUUGGCACUACAUCCCACUUCCAUCUAUCAAUGACACAAUCAAAGAAGUCACCCGAAUCAAGAAAACAAAAAAGAAUGGCAUAAAGCAAAUCACAUAAAAGUUCUGUAAAUCAAAUCCAUGUUCCUAUCCUAAACAUUCUCCAUUCAUCAAAUAUCAACAAUACUUGUAAGCCAAACAUCCCAAGAAUGAAGAAGAAGAAGAAAAAUGAUGUCAAGCGAAUCAUAUAUUUGGCCAUCCAGGAAUUAUUUGGAAUAAAAAAAAGAAGAAAGAAAAAACAAAAAGCAUAGGAAUCUUCGCAAUUAUUUGCAAAGUUCAUGGUUUCCAUACAGAAAUCACUGAUCACUUUUUUAAAUAGAAGGAAAAUGAAUAGAUUAAAUAUUCUCAGAAAACAGUGAAGAUUCCAAAGAGCCAGAGCAUUUUGUCAUAGUGCAUGAUUGUUACCUUGUACAAUCUUCCAUUCUCCAGCACAGCAAGUUACAGGGAAGGAAUAGAUAAGACCCGCUGGAACAUUGUAUGAACCAUCAGAGUAUACGCCCAUGGACACCCAAGUUCCCUGAAGUUGCAAGGAGAAAAUCAAAUGCAUCAGAUACACCACACACAAUCUAUUACUGGAAGUAUACAGAUGUAAAAGCACUAACAGAAAACAACCUCUGGAGUUCCAAGCACCCAAUCACGGAUAUGGUCACAUGCAGCACUUGCAGCAGAUAAAGCACUCGAGAGCUUUCGUGCUUUGAUAAUUGCAGCACCACGUUGUUGGACAGUGGUGAUAAAUUCCCCAUUCAACCUUCAUGAAUAAAAAUGUAAAAAUGAUUAGAUAAAUUUAAAUAAAACAAAAAAAAAUACUAAUUAAAAGUAAACAUGACUUAUGCCCCAUACCAUGCAUCAUCACCCACAAGCCCCCGCACAGGUUUCUCACCAGCUGGGGUUUUGACAGUAGCAUGGUUGACAUCCGGAUACUGAGUUGAAGAGUGAUUUCCCCAUAUGAUAACAUUCUUAACAUCAGAUACUUGAACAUUCAGCCUUUCAGAGACCUGACCUAGUGCCCUGUUAUGGUCCAGUCUUGUCAAACAACUAAUGUUUUUCUCAGGAAUUGAUGGUGCAAAUUCCUUCAGGAUCAAGGCAUUUGUAUUUGCUGGGUUAGCAACAACCAAAACCUGAAAUAAAUGAAUGAAUGAAUAAUAAAUAAAAUUGAUUGGAAAAACACAAAAGAAAAGAAAGAAGCAUUGGCCAAGUAAUGCAGGUUAAUUCUAUGUAAAAGUAUUCCCCGGUAACCAUUAAGGUGGUUCAAUGUUCAAUCAAGUGGAUGAUUUUAUCAAGGAAUUGAAACAAAAUAUACAAUCGUGAGCACCUUGCAAUUUGCAGCUGCAUGAUUUUCAAGUGCAGAGGCCUGGGACUUGUAGAUGGAAACAUUUUUGGACAUCACAUCCUUUCUUUCCAUUCCUUCUUUUCUUGGGAAGCCGCCAACCAUGACAGCAAUAUUGACUCCAGUGCAUGCCUCAACAACAUCAGUUGUAGCAACAACACCUGUAAAAAAAUUAGAACUCACUAUUGUUGUCAUCAUUUUGACUGAUAUGUAAUGACCAGCAUUUUAUGGAAGAAAAGAAAAACUACCUUUGAGAAGUGGAAAAGCAGCAUCCACCAAUUCCAUUUUGACCCCAUUUAAGGCUUCUGCAGCAGGAGGGAUAUCAAGCAUGUGCAGAAUCACAGGCUGAUCAGCACCCAACAUCACUCCCCUAGCAAUCAUGGGGACAAGUGCAUAGCCAAUUUGUCCUACAAAUCAAAAUCAGUUUACCACAACAAAAUCAGCCCAAGCAAAUUGAAAGGGAAAAGAGGAACAUAAAAAUGGACUAUAUUGAAUCUGGGUCUAAUUUUGGUUAUUGUACAUUAGUUUAGCACAUCAAAAUACGAAAAACCAAACUUUGUCAACAAUUGCAUGAUUAAUAAACUCUUAAACCAACUAAUUUGAAUCCAAUUAUUGAUAUUAUAAUGGCAUAGUCUCUAUACAAGUUGAGCAACACCAAAAAAUGCAAGCAGCUGGAUAAAAAUGAUCUUUGUAAUGAACAAUAUACAUUGAAUUUUCUGUACAAUAUAUGUUAAAUUAAAAGCAGAUGAUUUACACAAUAAAAGCAGGAUAUGCAACACCAACUAUCUUUCUACUCCACAAAAAAACAUUUAAUUUACAGAAGAAAUGGAGAUGGAUAAAAAUGAAAGCAGCUUUCAAGAAGCAUAGUCAUACUAUACUAACUCUGGUAGAGAUUACCUCUUGUCACUGAUUACAAAGAUGAAAAGAAAAAACUUAAAAUCUUGGAUCUUAGUGCUUUCAUCAUUUGGAACCCCAUGAAACAAACUUCAGCUCGACCAUCACUAACUAGAACCGUAUGGCUUAGUUAAGCUGAAGUCUUUUUAUUUUCCUUUUUCGUUGUCAAAACCAAAACAACAUUAACAUAAUAUUCUAGAAUCAUAUUCCGUUUUCCAAACUUUUCAUAAGCUUCCGUUGGAUCAUAGGUAGGAAGGAAAGAUGCUGAAAAUUGAUUAAAAAUGGAUUUUCCUUAAAUCUAUUUUCAGCAUUUCCGAGAUCCGAACUCAACCUUAACCAGAGACUCAACAACAGGCAAAAGAACUACAAAAAACUCAGUCCGUAGAACCAUGAGUACUUCAUGAUCCACCACAAAACUCGCUAAAAACACUAAUCUACCCAUAAUAGACAGAAGUAUUAUUCAGAUCGCCAGAUCAAAAAACACAACACGCAGCAGCAACAACCGAUUCAAUCACAAACACUACCACAACAUCAAGCACCGAAGCAAAAACUACAACAAACACCACGGUUGAUCCCUAAUUUCUUCAAAUCAACAACCGAUUCAAGAACAUAAUUAUGCAAAUCACAAGAUCUACAGUAGCCCCCAGUUUCUACGCUCAAAAAAGCAACCAACACAAAGAAAUAGGAAACAAAAAAGAAAGAAAAAAAAACAAAACAAAACAAAUCUUCGCUUUCCGAGCAACCAAACAGUGAAACCAUGAAGAAGAGAGCCAUAGAUCUCGUAAUACCUGCGGCUCCAGUAACGAGAACGCGAACUGGUUCUUUGGCCAUUGUAAGAAUCGUAGGAAGAGGAAGGGAGACGAAAACGACGCCUGCAAAUCUAAUCUGUUGCUACACUUACCACUGUUGUGUGCUCCCUUUAUACUAGGAUUCACAAUGUUCUCGUGCCGCUGCUUUUCGUCAACCAAGUUUUUGGCCACGUGUCAGCUCCUCAUACGUUAUAGUUAAUUAGUUAUUCAAAUAACCCUAGCUCAUAAGAGAAUAUUCUAAAUAUGCUUUUGUGCCUCGCUAUUUUUUCCACCUGUUUGAAGAAAAAUAAUAAAUUUUGGAAAUAAAUAUAAAUUUUUAAGUGCUUCUGAGUCCAGCAAAAUAUUCUGAGUGUUUGGCAAGAUUUCAACAAUAAUUUUUAAAAAUAUCAUUUUUAAGCACAAUCUUAGUUGAGUUUGAUAAAUUAAUUUAAUGAUUUAAUAAUUAUUAAUUUGAUUAAGUAUGUGCUAUAAAAUGACUUAAUAUUAAGAUUUAAGUUUAUUUUAAAUUUUAAGUAUUAAGUUAAAAUAAUUAACUCAUUCUUAAUAUCAAUUUUUUUAAUCUUAUUUGCCCACACUAGUAAAAAUAUAUUUUAGAAUUGUGAUUCUAUAUUCAUGAGUAAUUUUAUAAAUAAAUUUAUUACUCACAAUUAAUAAAAAUAAAUAUGAAUUAAAAUCUUUUUUACUUUCAUAAUCUCUUUUAUUACCUUAUGACCUUUAUUGUUACUUGAUCUAUUUUACCCUAAUUACAAUUUCUGAUGAUACAUAUGUUAAUUUAAUUAUUUUGAAUAAAUAAUAAUUUUUAAAUCAAUAAUUUAAGUAUAAUUUAACUUAAAAUCAAUUUAAAGCAUUAAGCAAUAAACAUUAAGUUUUAUCAAAUAACUUUUAAAUUAAUAACUUAACAAUAAUUUAACUUAAAGUCAACUUAAUUAAUUAAAUAAUAAAUAUUAAAAUUUAUCAAAUGCUUAUUUUAGUUUGUUGAACUUAUUUUUUAUUUAGAGAUUACAUAAAUAUGUACAAUAUAAAAUUUUUAAAAAUAUUAUUCAAAAUAUAUUUUAUAAAAAAUAAUUAAAAUUAUUUAAAAUUUAAAAAUAAUUCUUAAGCAUGAUUCUUAAAAAUAAUUCUCAAUUAUUUUUAAGAAUAAAAUUUUAUUUAUGAACUUAUUUUUCACGAGAGAUUACAUAUGUAAAAUACAAAAGUUUUUAAAAUAUUAUCCAUGUUUUAUGAUAUUUUAUAAAAAAUUAAUUAUAAAUAUUUAAAAUUUAUUAAUUUAUUAUUACACACAUAUAUAUAUAUAUAAUAAUUAAUUUAUAUACAAUAUGUCAUUUCAAAAUAAGUCAACGAAUAGCCUUUAAAGUACAUAAAAGUUUGUAAUAUUUUAUGUAGCUAAUGCAAGCAUGCGUGAAGUUGGGGCUUUUUUAACUUUUGCGGCAAUUUUAAAAAAUUAUAAUUAAAAAAUGGUAGUUUUGAAAAUAUUGAUAGAUUUACGGCAGUUUUGGCCACGUGGAAAGUGUCUUUUGAAGAGACACCUUCCACAAUUUUCAAAAUCAUGAAAGAAUUGAAUUUAAGCUAAAGAUGUCUCUUGAAGAAACACCUUCUACAAUUUCAGAAAAUUUGAUUUAUAUUAAAGGUGUCUCUUGAAAAAACACUUUCCACGUGGCAAAAAAUCCAAUAUGUAUUAAAGGUGUCUCUUGCAAAGACACUUUCCACGUGGCAAAAAAUCCAAUAUUCAUUAAAGGUGUCUCUUGAAAAGACACUUUCCUCAAAAAUUUGAAUGUCUUAUAAAUUUGAUUUUAAAGCUAAAGAUGUCUCUUGAAGAGACACCUUCUACAAUUCCUAAAAAUUUUAAUUUAUACCAAAGGUGUCUCUUUAAGAGACACCUUCUAGAAUUCCAAAAAAUUAGAUUUAUACUAAAUGUGUCUCUUGGAAAGACACUUUACACAAUUCCACAAAAUCCAAUAUGUAUUUUAUUUGUGGAAAUGAUUUUAAAGCUAAAGAUGUCUCUCUUUAAUGUAUGAAAAUUGUGGAAAGUGUCUCUUCAAGAGACACUUUCAGUAUAAACCAAUUUUUUUAAAAUAAUAGAAGGUGUCUCUUGAAGAGACACCUUCAAUAUAAUUCCAUUUUUUGGGAAUUGUGAAAUGUGUCUCUUGAUACCUUCCACAAUUUUAAAAAUAUUGGGUUUAUACUGAAAGUGCUUGUUCAAAAGACACUUUCCACAAUUUCCAUUCAAACAGUGGAAAAUUUUGAAUUUAUGCUGAAGGUGUCUCUUCAAGAGACACCUUUCAUAAUUUUUAAAAAAUUGGUUUAUACUGAAAGUGUCUCCUUGAAUUUAAAUUUGAAUUUCAAUUUCAAUUAUUGUAAGUACUAAUCUAAUCAGGUUAUUAUUUUUUUAUUUUGUUGCAACCCUCGUUUGAUUCCCAAGUUUGUGCAAUCCCUGUUUGAUUCCCAAGAAAAUCCAUCCCCCAUUUGCUUUCCGGGAAAAUCCAUGGAAAACCCCCUAAAAAAACAAAUUUUCAAUUUCAAUUAUUGUAGGUACUAAUCUAAUCAGGUUAUUAUUUUUUUAUUUUGUUGCAACCCCCGUUUGAUUCCCAAGUCUGUGCAAUCCCCGUUUGAUUCCCAAGAAAAUCCAUCCCCCAUUUGCUUUCCGGGAAAGUCCAUGCAAAACCCCCUAAAAAAACAAACAAAAAAAUGUUUUUAUUUUUGCUCCGUGCUUUCUGGAUCUGUCCAGGGGUCUCUUUGCUUUUGUGCCAUUGGAUUUAAAUUUCACAAACCCUAAAUCCACGAUUUUUGAGCCACGCUGAAAAACACUACCUUUCCCCUCAAAUCAUGAUCACCUUUCUCCUCAAAUCAUGAUCAGAUUACCAAAUAGCUUAUGUUUUUUAAUAAAUAAAAAAAUUGGACAGAUACCCUGUGCGCAGGCUGGACUGGUAGGAAAUAUUGGGAAAUUUUUUUUUUCAACUUUCCCACACUUUCUUAUCAACCAAACAGAAUCAUAACAAGCCAAACCACAAAAAAAAUUAAAACUUUCUCCAUUAUUUUUAGUCUACUCAGUUUCAUUGUAAAAAAAAACAAAAACUUUAUUUUUUUUACAACUUUCCCACACUUUCUCGGUGACCAAACACAACCACACCACCAAAUAUAACCACAAAACUUACAGAAAACACCGGGGGCAAUGGUUUUUCAGAUCUGCACUUCACUUCCUUCCUAUUGGUGUUGAAGCAAGGAUCUCCACCUCAUGAUCAGCGUGCGGGAUAGUGGGUUUUCGGGCAGAGGAGUUUUGAUGCAGAGAAGAAAAACGAGAAGGGAAGAGAAGAAAAACGGGAAGGGAAAUGGAAAGGGGGGAAUGGGUUUUCAUAUCUAUCCUACGUGUUAUCCUACGUGUUCAAAAGUGCCGUAGAAUUGGAAUUAUUUUCCAAACUAUGGUAUUUUAAAUAUUAUUUUUUUUAAUUGCAGUACAUUUAUCAAGAAUCCCGUGAAGUUGGGUGUAGGCAAGACCGCAACACUAUGAUGGAAAUAAAAUGAAAAGCUUGACUUUGGAUUUAAUCCAAAGUAGUUUUGCUAGGAGCUCAUACACUUUUGGUUGUUCGACCAUCUCCUUUAAAAUCGACGAUGCUAAACCUCAUUUUCAACUCUUCACAUACCUACUCACCUCAAACUUGCUAUUUAUACAUAUGAUCGAUAGGAUUUUUUUCAUAAGCUAACUACUAAUUUCCGAUCUAUAAACAAAUGUCAGACAUAGUAAAAAUUGCAGACUUCUUAUUACUCAAAAUAUUUAGAAUUUACCAAUUCUCUAAUACUCUUUUUUUUCAUUUUUAAUCCAUCUAUAAAAAGAGUGUGAAUCAUAUUUAUUAAUUUUGAGGAAAAAAAUGAUGUUAUUUAUUUAUUACAUUUCAAUGCCAAAAAAUUAAAGUUAAUCUUACAUUUAUCAUAUCAAAUUAUUGUAUCAAUACUUUUUUGAAUAUCUAUAAAUACAUGUGAAAAUCCUCCAUUUUGUCCCUAACAAAUAUUUUCUCAUUUUCAUUUUCUCUCGCCUGCUUUUUUUAGCCUACGUUUAGGAUAUUUUUGCUUGAUGAUUCAUCGUUCCUUAUUGGUCCACCAGUUUGUUAUUGAUUUUUGAACCAUAUCUUGGAGGCCAUUUAGGAGGUAAUUUCGGGUUUGAUUUUAGGUUUAUUAUUUUUUGUUUUAUUUUCAGCAUUUGGUGAAACUCUAUGAUUUUAGUAUUUUUUUAGGGAGGCCUAGCAGCCGGCUUAGAUAAGGACACGUGUUCUCAUCUUGCAGUUCUUCUCAGCAUUUUGGAACAAGCCUUCUAGAGGUUCCUAGGGGCCAUCUAUGAGGUUUCUAGUGGAGGCUUUUCUUUGGAGCAUGUUUCUUUUUUCUUUUCUUUUGGGGUGACCUGUUAAGAGAGAGAGGGGACCAACUAUUUGUAGGCAGAGGAUAUUCUCUGGAAAGGUGGUUAAAGAAGAGAAGAGGUUAGAGAGAGAGAAGGGUUAGAGGAUAAGAGAAUGAGGCUCACUAGUUUUAUUGAGUUUGGGGAAAGCAAUAAAGCACGAGGAGCCCAACAGAUUUCAGCAAGAGGGUCUUCAGGUACAUUUGUUGUGGGUUUCUUGCUCGUUUUCAUUAUCACUCUAUUCUUCAUCAUCUUUUGUUGUUUCUAAUCACUGUUUGAUCGUUUGUGUAUGGAUGUGAUAUUGCUUUGCUCUUUUUUCUUCUUCUUUUUUGUGGGGGCUUCCCUCCACGUGGCAUUCCCAGACUCAAGACCCUUUGGCUGACUAGGGCAAACAUAUAACCCUUCUGGGAUCACUCCAUUUGGACCAAGAUAAGCUCCGUCUGGCACCAGAAGUGAGAAGUUUUUCUUCUUCCAUAAUACCAGACGGAAUAGACAGACUAAGUCGGCUGACUUUUCAGACAGACUCACAAUGUCAAACGAAAUGGAUAGACCAAACCGGUUAAACCUUUCAGAUGGACAAAUCAAUUCAGUCAAGUCUUCAGGAUUUCUAACAUGCAUAGUUAACCAUGCUUAAUGUCUGAACACCGGCCUAACCACCUGAUGUCUGAGCGUCGACCUAACCACCUGAUGUGCCUAACCACCUGAUGUUUAAGCGUUGAAUUAAACGUUAUUUACACCCAAAAGUCAAUGUCAAUUAAUUAUUACACACAAUCCCAGACAUUGGCAAGCUAAAUGGAAAAUCGGCUACACAGUCCGAGAUUUUGGCACAACAGUCAACAAAUGGCACCAGUCAGCAACCCUUACUUGAUGUGAUUGCCCAGUCCACGUAGUAAUGACGAUGUUGAUAGUCUAUGCAAUCAUCAUUACAAGAAAUGUUAGAGUGCAUAAUCAACGCUGACGGUGCCAUCAACUCUAUAUAAACCCCUCAAGAAGCACGAACAAGAUACACACACUCAUUAUCUUCCACAAAGUAAUAGUUAGAGUUAUCCUCAGUGAUUUCUGACUUUAGCUUCGGAGGGAUGUGCUCGGACCACCUAUUCGGACAUUCUUCUGUGUAGGAAAGAAGUCUGUUUGACUCCAGUGAAGCUGGACAUAUCUGAAUCCAGUUGGCUUGACGCCAACAGUUUUCAUUUAAACAAAAAUCUGGAUAUGGUUCACUAUUGCAAUGAGAGUUUAUUGUUGAAUUUGUUUCAAUAUUUGCUUUGAAUCUUUCAGUUGCACCAUUGGUCUUUGAGCCCAUUGAUUUCAACAUGAAAUCGGAUUUCAUUUAAUGUUUUACUUAUUUAUUUAUUUCGCUCUAGGUAUGCUCUAUCUUAAGUUAUGCAUUUCUCUGUAUUUGGUAUCUUAAUCGGUGUCCCUGUUUCUGGCUCACAGCUUUGGGUUUGCUUUAGACAUCUGGUCUUGUGUUCUAAUCUACGCUUGAAAAGAGAUGAUUGUGUAUUAGGUUUACUAACACAAAUUCAUAAGCCUCAGUGUAGAACUAUUUGUAUUCUACACGGAGGUUGCUGCAUAUUUAUAGUUUUAUUCUAAACUUGAUGAUGCAAACCAGCCAGUGGGUCAGCAAGAUGUGGGAUGCAAGCAUUGGUUCUAAGCAGUAUGCUCUGAGGACCAUAAGGCACCUAUAUAUUCUGCAUGUCCACAACACAAGGAACCAGUUGGAGUUAGCCCGCAUCAUCAAGGAAAGAAACACUGAGCUAUAGGAACACACUAGAAAAUUUAGAAAAUAGGUUACUGCAAUAGCUAAGUAGGACAAUUAGAUUUUGUAGAAUUGUGAUGUUUUUCUAAGACUUGAGGUUGAAGUGGCAAAAGCGGUUGAGACCCAAGCUCAAUUGGAGAGACAACUAGAGUUAAUUGAGACCCAUCAACGAGAGGUUGACAAGGCCUUGCUAAGUAUAGAAGAAGAAAUUGAGUGUAUUUAUAAGGAUGAGCAUGGAUUGCUUGAUGAUGAGGCUACAUCCACAAGAGAUGCAAUGUAUGAGUAGGCUGAAUUUAUAGAAAGGACUUUUAUGGAUGAGGUUAAUGAGCGUGGGUUAUCUUGGGAGAUCAGUCUUUGUGAUUUAAGACUUAUAGAUAAGUUGUAAUAUGCUAAUUGUGCCAUCUGUUCUUUCAUAAUUUCGAGGUCGAGUAAUUGUCGGACUCGGCUAGGAGUUUAGGAGAUUGGAAAACAUACCGAAAGAGGACUUUGGUAGGGUUCUGUUGGUUUAUGUGUUUGAUUUAGAUCACAAUUCACUGUUGUUGCUUGAUCGGUAUCACUAGUCUGUUGUUUUUAAGGAUAUGGUUAUUGUUGUUAGAACAAGGAAUACAUAGGUUGUGAGUGAUUGUAGUUAUAAUGGGCGCCAUAUGUUUACUCAAACACGAAAGCUUGAGAAAUUGCUGGUUGGUUCAAUCCUACAGAUUAUGUGGGUAGUGUCAUCGACCCAUUUAUCAUGGAGUCCAAGGCAUAAUAGCACUUAAAAUUAUUAUACAUGGAAUGUUGGACAAACUCAUUUUGGGCCAUUCUCGGAGACCUCAUCAUUGUCCUUUGUGUAGAAAAAUGAAGCCCGGAGAAACAUUCUUCUGACAUCACCGAAUUACAACCUUACAAGUGUUAUUGACGUCCUAGAAUCUAUAGUUGCUCAUGGCGAAUAAAGGAAUUUUCUUAAACAUAAUUGACAUGUUGAGUUUGUACAAAAGUGGAACUCAUAUAUUCAAGCAAGUUAGACAAAGUAGUUUCUACAUUGUCUCAUUUGGAUUUUGAAAUGGCUUUGUAUUUCUUGAGGUCUUCAGGUCAUGAUCUAUAUGCAAUUUGUUAGAUUAAGAGUAUGGAAACAAAGGAUUAGCAUAAAAGACAUAAAUAAAUAACAUAAUGAAUAAUAAGAAAAACUUAUUGGCUGAGGCGUGACAAACACUGUCCUUGAAAUAGAUACACCAUCCUCAAAUACGAACUCAGUGCAUUAGGGUACUAGUGGUCUACCUCUAGGAUUCAACAGCCAAAUCUCGCAUUGGGUGCACUCUAUAAGCGAGACGUGUACAACUCGAUUCUGAAAAAAUUCCUCCAAAAAGAUGUAUGAAGUACUCUCUGAAAAACUCUUUGAAAAAUUGGUAUUCAUAUUUUGAGAGUGAAAGGUGACUUGCUUUUAUAGACUACUUACACAAUCCCAAAGGGACUCUACUUGUAAUCAGAAUAUGACUCAAAGAAGAACAUGAUUCUACUUAUGAGUGGAAUGUGACUCCACCAACACAAUCUCAAUAGGACUCUUCCCAAAAAUAUAAGACUAAUAAAAUAAAAAUAAAAAUUGUUUUGAAUUUUUGUAAAAAUUAGCAAAAAUCUUUAAAACAUUUUUUUAGAUUUACACUCUUCCUACAAUCCCCCAUAGAGUAUAGAUGUGAAAAGAAAGAAAAGAAAAAAAAUGGAGGAAAAAAGAAUCCAAUGCAUCAGUACUAGUGCCCAAAGGCUAUGAACCAAUCUUAAGACACAUAAGUAUUGAAUCACAAAACACAGUGAAAAUAAAUUUCUAUGAACUAGUGUUUCUUUAUGUAACUUAAGGGACUUUUAUCCACAUUGGUUUUCUCAACUUCACUACGAGCUGUACAAAACAAGUUGGCACAAAUAGGUCAUACGCCCUACCUGGAUAUUCAUGAGAGCUCUAGAAAAUUUGCCUAGGUUCUUAUAGGAAACGACCCAUCUCCACUCUCAUAUAGGUGAAUCUAUCAAGUAUGUUCUGCAUUUAAACAUAUCAUCCAUAAGGAAUAUGAUAUUCAUUAAGAGUAAACACUCAACCUUAGUCAAUGCAGAACACAUUCUAUCUACACCAUAGAGAUAGACUCUCAUACAAUUAGAGUUGAUAGAGCACCUCAAGUCAACAAAUGAUUUGUUAUUAGCCAUAUGAAUCUACUUCAUGGAAUUUCCAUUCUAAUAGGUUGGGUUACCACCACUCUUGAAUUCUGUAAUAGGCAUAAGCUUCAUCCCCCUCGAUGUUUCUUCCACUAGUUCCUUAUUUAGUGGUUUGGUCAAAUGAUCGAUCAAAUUCAACUAUGACCUCACAAAUUCUAGGGAUAUAACCCCUGUUUCAAGUAGUUGCCGCACAAUAUUGUGCCUUAGGCGUAUAUGUCUGUUCUUCCCAUUAAAUAUUUUACUCUUAGCCUUAGCAAUUGCAGCUUGGCUAUCACAACGCAUAGACACAGACGGGGUUGGUCUCGUCCAUAAAGGGAUAUCUGCUAAGAGGUUUCUAAGCCACUCAGCCUCAAAACUUUUCUUUUCUAAGAUAAUAAACUCAACCUCCAUAAUAGACCAAGUAAUGCAAGUUUGUUUGGCAAACUUCCAAGAAACUAUACUUCUACCAAGGAUGAAAACAUAUCCACUAGUGGAUUUCAUCUCAUCUGAAUCCGAGAUCCAAUUUGCAUCACUAAAUCCUUCAAGGACACUUGGAAAUCCACUAUAGCACAAAUCAUAGUUAAUGGUGCCUCUCAAAUACUUAAGGACUCUACGAACAGUAGUCCAAUGGUCUUGAUUAGGACUUUGGGUGUACCGACUCAAUCUACCUACUACAUAAGCAAUGUCAAGUCUGGUACAGUUCAUUAAGUACAUUAGGCUCCCUAUGAUUUGAGCAUACUCUAUUUGAUCAACUCUAUGUUCUCUAUUUUUCUUCAGUUGUGAGUUCGGAUCAUAAAGAGUUGACACUGGUUUACAAUCAAAAUGUUCAAACUUUCUUAAGAUCUUUUCAACAUAGUGCUCUUGAGACAGUUUAAACCCAUUAGGUGUUUUAGUUAUUUUAAUUCCUAGAAUCACUUCUGUCUCUCCUAGGUCUUUCAUAUCAAACUUAGAACCUAGGAAUUUCUUGGUCUCACAUAUUACCUCUAGGCUAGUUCCAAAGAUCAACAUGUCAUCAACAUAAAGACAGAUGACUACACAUAUGUUAUCCUCAUAUUUGUUGUAGAUACACUUAUCAGUAUUAUUAAUGGAAUAUCCAUUAAUUGCUAACACGUGAUCAAACUUGUUGUGCCGCUAUUUGGGAGCUUGUUUUAACCCAUAUAUUGAUUUAACCAACUUACACACAUUUUUCUCCUUCCUUGGAACUACACAACCCUCAGAUUGUUCCAUAUAAAUUUCCUCAUCCAAAUCCCCAUUCAAGAAUGCAGUCUUGACAUUUUAGUGUAUCAUCAAAUUAUGAAUGGAAGCUAAAACGAUCAAUACUCUAAUUGAUGUUAUUCUAGUCACAGGGGCAAAGGUGUCAAAGUAAUCUACAUCCUUCUUUUGUUUAAAGCUUUUGGCAAUUAAACGAGAUUUAUACUUCUCUAUGGACCCAUCUUGCUUUAACUUUCUUUUAAAGAUCCACAUACAACCAAUAGUCUUUGCACCAAGAGGUAAAUCUACAAACUCCUAUGUAUGGUUAUACAUUAUUGAUUCGAUUUCACUAUUAAUGGUCUCCUUCUAGAGUGGUGCAUCAGGAAAAGUUAUAGUUUUUUUGUAGAAUCUAGGGUCAUCAUCUAUUAGGAAGGUAUAGAAACCAUCUCCAAGGUUUGUUUAUUUCCUUUCUCUUUUACUCAUUCUAGGUUCAAAUUCAGAAAGUCUAAUAGACUUGUCUCUACUUGUUUUCUGAACUUGUUGUUCACUAUUUAGUUUCAUAGGAAAAUAUUUUCAAAAAAAUCUGCAUUCUUUGUUUCUAUUAUAGUAUUGACAUCUACAAGACUGUUUUCUGACUUAGUAACAAGAAACUUAUAUGCCGCACUAUUCUCAACAUAGCCAAUAAACAUUGCAUCAAAGGUUUUAAGACCUAGUUUUCGUUUUUUAGGUUAAGGGAAAAAAACUUUGGCUAAACACCCUCACACUUUCAGGGAUGCUAUAUUAGGUACAUAACCUUUCCACAACUCAUAAGGAGUUUUACUAGUUUUCUUGUAAGGUAUUCUAUUUUGAAUAUGACAUGUGAAUAGGAUAGUUUCCCCCCACAAGUUCAAGGGUGCUCCUGAACUUACCAACAUUGCAUUUAUCAUUUUUUUUAAGGUCUCAUUUUUCCUUUUUGCUACUCCAUUAGACUCAGGGGAAUAAGGAGGAGUAGUUUCGUGAAUGAUCCCAUGAUCUUCCCAUGAUCAUCCCCUAUCAAUUCUAAGCCUUUUAAUUUUCUUAUUUAGUUGAUUUUCCACUUCAUUUUUGUACUUGAUGAAAGCAUCUUUUGUUUCAUCUUUUUUUCUCAAAAGAUAUACCCUUGUAUACCUUGAAUAGUCAUCUAUGAAAGUUAUGAAAAUCCAUUACCACCUCUAGUCAUUGUGUUUUUUAGGUCUCCUAAGUCACUAUGUAUUAAACUUAGUAGAUCUGAUUUCUUUCAAUUGAUUUGUAAGAUUUCUUUGUGGUUUUAGAUUCUACACAAGAUUCACAUUUUCCAUGGUUUUCUAAGGGUGGUUUAGGGAUUAAACUCAAUUCAACCAUUUUCUUCAUAUAUAAAAAGUUCACAUGUCCUAGUCUACCAUGUCAAAUAUCACUAGAAUCAACUAUAUAAGCAGAAGAAGAAGAUGCAUUAUUAUUGAUAAUAUCAUAAACAUUCAAAAUAAAUAAAACCUUAUUACAAUAACCAUUUCCCACAAGUGCAUCAUUCUUGGUUAAAACUAUUUCAUCAGAGUCAAACAAGAUCCUCACUCCUACUUUUCCCAGCAGAGAUACUGACACCAAGUUUCAAUGGAUAUCUGGCACAUGAGGAACAUCACUGAGGGCAAGCACUUUUCCAGAGGUUAGCUUGAGGAGAACUUUCCAUUUGCCAAUCACUAGAGUAGAUCUAGAAUCACCCAUGAACACUUGUUCAUCUCCUUCCUUUAGAGUAGUAUAGGAAGUAAAUGCAUUUUUGUUUCCACAUAUGUGCCUAGUAACCCCAGAGUCUACCACCUAGUCCUUCAUAUUGGUGACCAUGAUCACCUCAAAGGAGAUUACUACUAUGAUCACCUCUGCCUCUACUAGAUUUGCCUUUGAAUUGGACUUCUCAAUUCUCUUCCUAUGGCGACAUUGAGCUGCAUGGUUUCCAAACUUGCCACAGACAAAGCAAUUACCCUGUUUUUUAAUAGUUGGGUUCUGAACCUUAUUUGAUGCAUUGGGUUUGGUCCUAGAGUUUUGUUUUCUAGACCUAUUGUUUUUGGGUUUAGGUUUUUCUUCUACUACACUAGCCUUAGAAGACAAUUCAUUAGCUUUCUCAACAUUGUCCCUAUUUUGGUUUUGUUCCUCAAUCCUAAUUUGGAUUAUGACAUCCUCUACGGACAUUUGUUUCCUUUUAUGUUUCAUGUUAUUUUUGUAGUCUUGCCAAAACUCUGGAAGAGUCUCUACUAAAUAACCAACCACAAAAGGUUUGGGUAAUUUAAUAUCUUCAAUGGCUAAGUCAUUAAUCAACAAGUGGUAGUCAUGGAUUUGAGAUGAUACAUAUCCAUCCUCGGUCAUUUGGAAAUUUCUAAAAUUCUCUAUGGCAUAUUUCUGAGUUCCUGCAUCUUUCAAAAUAUUUUUUUUAUUCAUUACAUCUCAAAUUUCUUUUACAACUUUAAAUUGACAAUAAAUAUCAAAAAGUUCAUUAGAAAUGGUACUCAUAAUAGCAUGCCUAACUUGUUUAUUUCCAGUUUCUCAGGUUGGUAACAAAUGAGAACUAUUUUCUGGUUUUGGGUUUGUCAAAAUGUGUCCCAAAUUCACUACAUCAAUUGCAGAGAAAACUCUUUCCUGCCAUCUCUUAAAGAAUGUCCUGUUGAAAAGGUCAAUUUUAGAGGUGUCAGGAUGGGUGUGAACUAGGGAAGCUUUUAUUUGGAUAUAUUUCAAGAUUGUUGGAUUAAGGGUAUGGAAACAAAGGACUAGCCCAAAAGACACAAACAAAUAACAGAAUGAAUAGUAAGAAAAAUUUAUCGGUUGAAACGUGAAAAACAUUGUCCUUGAAAUAGAUCCACCCUUCUCAAAGACGAACUCGGUGCACUAAGGUACCAGUGGUCUACCUCUAGGAUUCAACAACCAGAUCUCACAUUGGGUGAACUCUGUAAUUGAGACGUGUACAACUCGAUUCAAAAAAAAUUCCUCUAAAAAUAUGUAUGAAGAACUCUCUAAAAAACUCUUUGAAAAAUUGGUAUUCAUAUUUUGAGAGUGAAAAGUAACCUACUUUUAUAGACUACUAACACAGUUCCAACGGGACUCUACUUGUAAUCAGAAUAGGACUCAAAGAGGAACGAGAUUCUACUUAUAAGUGGAACGAGACUCCACUAGCACAAUCCCAAUAGGACUCUUCCCAAAAAUUAAGACUAAUAAAAUAAAAUAAAAAUUAUUUUGAAUUUUUGUAAAAAUUAGCCAAAAUUGUUAAAACAUUUUUUCAUAUUUACACUUUUCCUACACAAUUCACUCCCUAUUGCAUGGCCACUUUGGGUGUGCCACCAUAUGCACGUGAUCCAUUCUAUUCUAUUUUCCUCUUUGUGGUGCGUUUCUCUUGUGUUUGUGUGAAUUUACAUGUUUUAAGUUAGGUUUUCAAAAUCUACUUUCCAUUCAAAUAAUCCCAACUUUAAAAAUUCAUCCUUAGUCUUUAGGUAAUGAAAUCCUGAUUUUAAUAAAUACUUGUUGCCAAUAUUUCCUUGGGACAUGCACUUUUUUAUUUUCUUUUAUUUUUUUAAUAUACCAAUUUUCUAGAAAUCCUUCCUCAAUGAUCAUUAAGAAAAUGGAAUUGUGUAGAAUGAAUUGAUGCAAAUAAAUUAGACAUUAAUGGGCCCCAACUUAUGUGAUAUUCUCUUACAGUUAAUUAUUCAUUCUAAAUAUCUUGUACUUGUUGAAUGCUAAUUGUCUUUGCCUUGCUAUUCGGAUAUAUGAAUGUUUUUUUUAAUACUUAUUAUCAUAUACUAAUCUUGUUUUUAUAAAGCUAGCACUUUGCUUGUUGUUCAGAUACACCUUUGUCUUAUCUUACUCGUUUGACUAUUUUCCGAUGUAUAUUUCGGCCAUAGUAUAUCAUGAUCAUUGUUUGGUAUCAAUUGAUUAGCUAACCAAUUGUCAUGUUUAAUUGUUUCACCCUGAUUGGUAGAGAUCUAUUUUAAGGCUUAAAGGGGUGUCGAGCUUAUUACCGUACCUCUCUGAUAGAUAACUUGACCCUUGAACUAAGAUUCGAUUUUUCAUAUACCUAUUUUUUCAUUUCAAGAGUCACACUUAAAGUUUUCUUUUCUAUUUUAUUUUUCCUUAAAAAAUAAAAUAAAAAUAGGUGACCAUUCCAAAACCAAAUUUUAAAAAAAUCAAAUUUUCAAAUAAAAAAAGAGUCCAACCAUUCCUUUUGAGUGGAGAUGCUAUGGUGGGUCCACACUUUGAUAAUUCCAUAUAAAAUUAAAUUAUUUACAUUGAGGCAUAUAACAAUUAUAACAUUAUUAGAUUUUGACAUGAUCUAAAAGGUGUUAAAAAUAACAUAUUUGAAAGCUAUGAUGUUGUACAUAACCAUGGAAGAAAAUAUCGCGAAAUAUCGUGUAUCGAAGGUUUCAUUAAAUUAUUUUUCAUAGAGAAAUAUCGGUCCGGCGAUAUUUCGGGAUUUAUCGCGAGAAAUCACCGAUUUCUCGCGAUAUAUAGGUGAUUUGGCGAUAAAUCGCCGAUUUUUCGGCGAUAUAACGCGGGUCAACGAAAGUCAGACCCGCUACAGUGCCCGUCAACGCACUACAGUGAUGCUACAGUGCCUCACCUUUAUUUGUUGCUGAGAGGAUUUGAACCCCAAACCUUUUACCCGCUUACCACCUGAGCUAAGUUGCCCUUUGAUAUAUAAUAUGCAACAACUAUAUAUAUACUUAAAUUCAUUAUAUAAAGAAAAUAUAAGAAUAUUUUUAAGAGCAAAUUAAUUAUAAUUAUUUUAUAAUUAAAUGCAAAGUCUUUUAAUUAAUUACUAAAAAUAUAAAAAUUAUAUAAUUUUCUUCAUAAUGUUUUUAAUAUCAUUAAUAAUUAAUUAAAUAUUAAAAAAUUAUAUAUAUAUAUAUCAUUAUUUAUUUUAUAUUAUUUAAUACAAUUGAAUUAAAUGGAUCAUAUUUUAAUACUAAUAUAUAUUUUAAAAUUAGACAUAUUAUAAUCAAAUAUCAUAAUAUUAUGUGUAAUUUAAUAAUAAAUGUAUACUUAUAAAAUUCAUAUUUUUAUCGAUGCAUACGACAUUAUUAUCAAAUAUGAUAAAUCAUGUUAUACAUAUAUCAAAAUUUUCAAUAAAAUAACUUUAAAAUGUCUAUUAUAUUUCUAAUUAUAUUAUUAUGAGGUUUUCCUUACAUUUUCAUGAGUUUUUAACAAUUUUAAGCUUACCGAUAUUUUUUCCCAAAAUAUCCACCAAUAUAUCUCCGAUAUAUCCGAUAUAUCCGUAAAAUCGAAAUACCGAUAUAUCCGUGAUUACCGAUAUUUUCUUCCAUGUACAUAACAUGUACCAAGGGCAUAGUGUUUGUUUUGGUCCACACAAGUUAUAAAGUCUAUAAACCUGAUUUCCUUCCCUUAAUUUCCUUAAUAGAUCAUAAUAUGUUGAAUUCAUGUUUUGAAAUAUCGAUAAACACGAUAUAUCGUUACUUGAAAUUUACAAAUAUAUCGAAAAUAUUUAGAAAAUAUCGGUAAGGCAAAAAUUAUUCAAAAUUCAUGGAAAUAUUUAGAAAAACUCUUAAAAAAUGAUAAAAUAAAUAAAAAUACAUAUGUUAAAGUUAUUUUCUAAGUAUAAUUAGCAUAGGUAUCAUCAAAAAGAAAAUAUUGGUAAGCAAAGAUAUAUCGGUCUUAAUAAUUUAUUAUUUAUUUAUUCAAAUUAAUUUUAAUUUAUAAAAUAUUAGAAUUUCAUUAUUAUUUUUUAUAUUUUAGUAUUUUUUUUAAUAAAUUUAUAUUUUUAAUAUUUUAGAAUAAAAACAUUCAAAAUUAAAUAAAAUUAAAAUGAUAAAUAUAAAAAAUUUAAAAGUGAAGUGAUAGUAAUUUUUUAAAAUAGGAUUCGUAAGAUAAAUGAUGAUACAUUUAAUAUUAAAAUUAUAAUUUAUUUAAUUCAAAUGCAUUCAAUAAUAUAAAAUAAAUGAUGAUGCAUAUAUGAUUUUUAAUAUUUAUAUUUUUAUAUUUAAUUAUCAUAUAAAUUAUAUUAAAAAAUACUUGUUAAGAAAAUUAUAAUGAUGGUUUUUAUACAUUAAUUAGUUAAUUAAUUAAAAUUUAAAGUAAAAUAAUUAUUUUUUUUAAUAAUGAACUUUAACAUAUUUAUUAUUAAUAUAUAUUAACAAGUGAAAACUUGGUUGAUGGUAACUAGCCUUAAACCUAAGCCUUUUGGUCUGGGUCGAAUCCUCCUCCUUCCUUCAAUCAACGAAAAUUUCCUAAACCACAAAAGAAUAUGAUCAUUUAGCUUAUCGAAUUGAAGUUUUAUUUCUUUUUUUUUAUUUUGUGAAAUAAAUCAUCAUAAGGAGUUAGAUCUACAAUUUAAUUUUCGUUUCUCUUCCCAAGUUUUCGAAGCAUCCAAAUGAGGUUCUUUAUUGGUUUUUUUCCUCUUUAAUAAUUCCUUAAAACACUUGUGAAGAUUAUUUUUUGGAGGAGUUUCUGAUCAAAUAUUCCACUUCUCCAAUAACAAGAGCCUCCUUUAUAUUCAUUUCCAAUUUUGUUUUUUCUUUUUGGUUGCUUUGUUUGAUUCUGUAAUUUUAAUUUAUGGUUUUAAUUCAGUUUCGAUAAACUGGAAAAGUCAAUACUUUUGGGGCUUUGGCUGUAAUUUGGGGAUUUAGGAAAUUUCCACCAAACGAUCGAAGGAAGGAGGAAGGAUGGGUUGGGAUUUUAAAAUAAAAUGACGGCUUUUCCCUCACUUAAACAUGUCAUGUAUUCAAAACAUAUGCCUUCCCUUCAUUACAUCUAUUGUCACUCAACAAAUGUAUAUUACAUGUAUUUAUAAAGUAUACAUUAAAUGUAAGGGGGAAAUGUGAAAAAUACGAUAUAGGUUGUAGAGGUAAAAUGUAAUAAACCCUAAAAAGUUUUAUUUUUAAAUAUAAAAUAUAAAAAUGCAACAUAUUUUUAGUUUUAUGUCAUUAUUCCCACUUAAAUCAACUAUAGUUACCUGUUUAAUCCUGAAUCGAUUUUACAACAACCUUGAAUUUUUUUUAAAAUAUGUAUAUAAACCAUAAGAAAAUAUGCAAAGUUCUAUACCAGGAUAGAUGUAACAUAAUAGUCAACUUAAUUCAAAUAACCUAAUUCACUAACUCUUAGAAUUAGAUAUUUCUACAAUCACUCUUCCAAGUACUCACUUUUCUUGGUUCUGACACCAUCCCCUAUAGUGUCUGUUUGAGCAUGUACACAACAAGGCAACCUGAAGUUUUAAUUUCCCUUGUGAUUAGAGCCUCGUUUGCUACUACAUACUAAUUAAAAGCGUUUAUGCUUAUAAUGUUAAGGGCUUGAAAUAGAUCAUCAAAUAUGUUUUUUUAUUUCAAGAACAUCAAUCCAUUUAAUCCAAUACUGCAAGUGUUCUCUAUUUGUGAUAUCCCACAUCAGAUAAAAAGAAAGUUUAUGACACUAUACAAAUAUGAACUUCUUUUAACCAUGUAAACACAUUUUAAAGCCGUAAGGAUCAUUUGGACAAAAAACGGACAAUAUCUACACAAUUGGGUAGAAGUCAUUAUAAAUGGUAUCAAAGCUGAUUUUUGACUCCAGUGAAAAGGAUUGUUUAGCCCUGUAAGGAGUGUUUAUCUGCU